UUGUGGUAUUUCUGGAUCCUUACCAAGGCAGUGAUGGUAUAUGCCUUCUCUCAAGAUAUGUGGUAUUUGUGGUAUAAGGCAUAGUGACAUUGCCUUCUCUCUCACCCUACUCUAAUAAGGCUUUAAUAUCUGGAGCUCAUAGGUGGGAGAUAAAGUAUACAUACUUACAAGACAUUUAUUGUAUAGUCAAACCAUGGAUCCAGAGAAACAAGUCAAUAAGUCAAAUCAAGAUGUGCAUGUGUGGCGAAUGAAUGGUGUAUGGUGAUGAUGGUGAUAACAAUGGUGGAAGUCUAAUUCUACUUUUGCUCUUUUGAGGCGAUACAUACCUUCCUUGCUUUUUGAAACUUUAUGAGGAGAAUGAGAUGCUCUUCUUUUUCUUUCCUCACAGGUGGGUAUCUUGUACCCCUAAUUCUACUGUCGGACACUUGUCCAUUUUUACCUCACGUCUCACUUUUUCUUUCUUUCGAGGUUCUGGGCACUUGCCCCUUUUUAUUUCCUCGUUUAUUUAUAUAUAUUUUUUUCUUUUCUUCUCUUUUCUUUUUUUUCAGAGCACUCAUCUCUUGAGAUAAUAUAGCAAGUGGUAGUAGCAAGAUAACUUGAGCAUUUAUUUCACAAGGGAAAACAGAAAUAUUUUUGGCUAUUCUCUCCCGGAUUAGGAGUAGAAUAUUUUUGGGUGGUUCUGGAGAUGGACAUGGAUGGAUAUAUGUGGAUGGUACUUUCGGAGUAGAAGUUGCAUAUAUGAGUGAACGUGCAAGUGAAUCUUGAUUUAACCACAUGACAAGCUCCUAAGGGUCUACACAGCUUGACCACACUCAAUGCUCAUAAGCAGUAAAUAGUAAAUGUGUGGCUCAAAGUCUAGCAAGCAUGUAUAUAUGGCUGUGGUAGGAAUUUAAACUCUAAUCAUACAUUAACUCAUCAUGCAAUAUUUUAAAGAUUUUUCAAAGAUAAAAUUCUCCAGAAUUCUAGCAUCUCUAGGAACAGAUAAACAGCAGCUCAACCUUCCCAUAUCAUAUCCGUUAACAACUUAGAUUUCAGAUCAAGUUUUCAUCCCACAAGUUUAGAUCUCCAGCAAGCUUUAAAUUAUAACAGUUAUGUCUAAACUUGAGAGAGAACUUCAAAUUUGCAAAUUAGGCAGAGCAACUAUUCAUCAUAUCCAUGCUAGAGUUUUAUUAUUAAGAUUCAGAUUAACAUAGCCACUUUAUUUAUUAAACACACUAAGCAAAAGAUAUAUAUAUAUAUAAGCACAAAAUCUUUAUUUGGUUUUUCAUAGUUUAUGUAUUUUAAUAUUCUAAUAUAAGUAUAAAGAUAGGUAGAAAUACUUAGCGAGAUAAAUGGGGGUGCUCUCCCCCAAGCUGAAUUUUGACGUAAUUUCUCUUGAUGUAGCUAGCAGGUGGCAGAGGUGUAUUUAAAAGUCAACAGCAUUCUGACAGCGAUUAGAAUGUCCUCCGUCUGCUAGUCUUCUUGAUUCUUAAAUUCUGUGGAGCUCAAAUAGACAACAAAGCUUGUGGAACUAAUUAAAUGUUAGCAUAAAUAUCUAGCCUUCAUCAUGUUGAGCUUCCUCAAUAAAUAUUACUCCCUGUUUUUAUAUUUUUAUUUUAUAAAGCAGAAAAGAAAUAUUUAUUUUAUUUUCAUGCCACCAUAGUGAAGGUACUUAUGGGUUUUAUGCCACUCGUAUACUCACAUAGGGCUUAGUAUUUUUUUAACAUUUUUAUUUUCUUUUCAAGAUAGCAUGAUUAACUAAUAAUCUAUUUAAGAAAAGUAAAUAAUUAAAGGGAAAAGGGAAUGCAGAAAGGAUAAAUAUGGAUAACUACCGAUCUUACCUUUCGGCGAGGGUUCAAUGUUUUAAGUCUUCUUAACAAGACUUCUCACCGUGUUCAUUCUUCAGGUGCGUCAUUUGAUUCAGGUGCGGACCUUGACAUUUGCACCUCUUCGUUUGCCCAGCAGUUCGAAGCGCGGCGUUGGCAGUAUCCUGCUCAAUGUGUUUGUGCUCGUAGAUCGAGGUCCUUCACUUGGUAGAGUCUGAGAGUUAUAAAACUCCUCCAUGUUUUGCUCAAAGUGUACCUGCUCAUAGAGACAAGGCAGAGAUCAAGUGCAUGGGUCCUGUUGGUGGAAAACACCAACAGAACCAAAAGUGUAUUUGUUCUUCUCUAACCCUAAGCAUAGUGAGCAAGACAAAGUUGAUGGAUGAAAAGUUCAUGAGUCUAGCACUUAUAACAUUUGUCAGAUCAGAUCGCUCAACCUUAUGGAAAGAUAAUCUAUCUAUGUAUAUGUCUUUUUCUUUAUAUCUUUCAAUGAUUGAAUGUGUAACAUUUUAGCUCAUAUGAUUAGGAGUGUGGGAUCAUGGAGGUAGUACUAAGAACAAGGAUUAAAGGACUAAACAUGUUGAAUCAGUUGGGUUGGUUAAUCUAGAGUUGUAAAUCAUACAUGUUUGUCUCUUUUAUUUAUAUGAACGCCAGAACCAAGGAGAAGCUUAUAAAAGUGAUAGUCAAGCACCUUAAGAUGUUACCUUGCUUGAAGAGUGAUGGUACAGUAUCACCUUGUGGAAGCUUUCCUUUCUUAGCGGUGGUGCAUCGUGUUUGUGGCACCCUCCAUGGAUCAUCUCUCUAUGAUGAAUGAGCUAUGUCCUUCUUGUGCAAAUUGUUAAACUUCAUAUGUCACUCUCUUCGUCUCUGAUGUGAGUUUAUCUCAGGACUUCCCAAAUCGAUAUUGAAAGUUUUUCUGCAGGGGUUAGUCCGACAAAAAUAUACCAAUGUCUACACAAGCAGUUUUUAGUUCAAUAACCGAACUAGACUCCAUGUCUGUGGGGGUAUAAACCCCUAUACCCUUACGGCUAGACUUCAGCUAGGAAGCUUGGUCCACUACGAGACGAGUUCAAGGCUUGAUCAGACAGCCCGAGUUUCGCGCAAGGAAACAAGACGUGGAGAUCAAGCAGAAUUCUAGUCGGUUAGAAUAGGAAUUGAUAUCGAAUUAUCUAUGGCAAUUGUAACCGACUAGGAUUAGUUUCUAGAUCUGUAACCCUGCCCUCCAGACUAUAUAAGGAGGGGCAAGGGACCCCCCUAGGACAUCAUAUUCUCUCAGCACAAAUCAAUACAACCAGACGCAGGACGUAGGUAUUACGCCAACUCGGCGGCCGAACCUGGAUAAAAAGCUUGUCCGUGUCUUGCGUCACCAUCGAGUUCGUAGUUCGCGCACCGUCUACCGACAAACUACUACCGUGGGUAUACCCCAAGGUAGACUGCCGACUAGCUUUCGUCGACAGUGGCGCGCCAGGUAGGGGGUGUGCGUGCAACUUUUCCGGCGAACAAGAUGGUCACGAUCCCAGCUUCCGCGACCGUGCCCGAAGGCCUCACGUUCACCGUCGGCCAAAUCACGUGGACGACGUGCAGCGGCGGCUUCGCGACCACGGUUCCGAAAGAGGUCCAGAUCCAAUCUGAGAUCACGCCGUCUCCGACCACACGCAUGACGGCACCAAGCUCCCGACCACCGUUCCCACUCUACAAGGGAAAGGAGAUCGACUGCUCGGACCUCCUCCAAGCGCUCGAUCGCGCUGACUCCAAGCUACUCGAAGUCUCCCAACUAAUAGAUGGAGUUCUGCGCCGGCCCGACCAAGCUGCUCGAGCGGAUUUUUCGAAAUCCCGCCGGCCAACUCGUGUCGCCACACACGAAUGGCUGGGAACGUCCCUGACGAUAACCUCAACCCCCUCACGACGAUCCGUCGAGCUCAAAAAGGAAGACUAUCCUCGCGGCCUGAACAACUCGGCCUCUGUUUACUCACGGCAUGUCCAAUCCGUUUUCAGCAAAGCGGGCUGGUCGCCGACAAGGAACAAUCGCCACCAUGUCAACAUGGUGACAAUCCGAGAGCUACGGGACGGCCAGGUUUCCAGCACCAACUCAAGCACCGGCUCCGUCCCCACCGAGGUUAUAAACACCGAAGACGAGGGCUACGACCUGGAUUUUCCUUCACACCCUCCGGGUUUUCGACCAAUUCCCGAUAUUGCCCCCCCGGCGAGGGGAUAUCGUGUUCAAUGUCAGCGCCGACGAACCAGCUGUUGACGGAGAAACAGAUGACCAGAGGCAACUCCGCGAACAGCGUAACGCCGAUCGCGCCCGACGGCGUGCGGACGAGCAACAACAGAUGCCACCAAGUAACCUCAACGAUGCCUUUGACAUGGUCGGGGACCAGCCGGUCUACAAAACGCCAAGCGCCAACGUGGCUGUCGCCAUGGCCAACCUGGAUCGGCUUCCUGACACCCCCGAGUGCUAGGGAGUCCGGACCAGCAUCCGAGCACACCUGAUCGCCGCAAUGGGACAGACAGCCACUCUGCUCAAGAGAGUCCAGGACGUCUCUUAUACGGAAGCCGCCUCCGACCAGACUAAUCGUAGCCGGGCCUCACCCAGCAGGCGUCACCGCAGCCGCUCCCCCGACAACCGUCGAGGAGACUCACGGCGCGACGAUGGUGGUCGGGACGCCGAUGGCCGCCGCCAGCAGAACCGCGUACGCGGCCAAGAAGAAGAAGACCAACACAGGGAUCUCCGCCACAACAUCCCUCCCAAAGAUGCCCGGGACCGCAUCAACAGGCGCGCCGUAGAGAGAGCAGUCCACGAAAACCUGCGCCGCAUCGAGUACGAUGCGACCCACAGUCCUCCGGGCCUAAGGCAGUUCUCCUCACACCUCCGCCAGGUCGUGUGGCCCCGCAAUUUCAAGCUCGAAAAACUUAAAAAAUACGACGGCAAGGAUCACUCUUGGGAAAUCGCCGUCCGAUCAGCGGCAGGAGAUGAGCACGUCAUGGCUAACUACUUCCCCGUAGUCCUCGACCAGGCUGGUCAUCAGUGGCUUCUCGGCUUGCCCGAGGACUUCUUCGACUCUUGGGAAGAGUUACGACAGGCUUUCAUCGACAACUUCAUCGCCACAUGCGAGCAGCCCGGAAACAAGUAUGACCUUGAAAGGAUAAGAGACAGGAAGAAUGAACCUCUGCGCGAUUACAUCCGACGAUUCUCGGAUAUGCGCCUCAAAAUCCCGAAGAUUUCUCAUGACGAGGCCAUAUCAGCCUUUAUCAAGGGCUUGCGUUUCCAUGAAGCGCUGAGGAACAAGCUGUUGCGUAAGCGCCCAUCAACGGUAGCAGAGCUCCUCGCCACGGCUAAAAAUUACGCCGAUGCUGAUGACGCAGAAAAACUAAUCCGAGACGACGCGAGAGGCCCCGACCAGCCUUCUCGGCGAGACGACGGUCGUGGUCGCUACGAAAACAGAAAUCACCGCCGCUCCGACAACCGCGAUCACCGAGAGGGUUGGGAUCGGCGGCGCGACAGCCGCAACGACUUCAGAGGAAAGCGCCCUCGUGAAUACGACCACGAAGUAAAUACGGUCAAACGUCCCAACGGACGACGGGACUACCAAGACGACUACAACAAAACGUUGAAGGGACCGUGCCAGCUACACCCAAAGUCUAACCAUACCAUGGAAGAGUGCCGCGUCCUCAAAAGUAUCUAUACACGGCGGGCCGCCCAAGAGGACUCCGCCAAGAAAAAUAACAAACGCGACGGGCACGACCACGAAGAUGAGGAUGAGGACCAAGACAGGGACCCCCGACACCAAUACGUUAGCCCCACCGACGUGGUCCACUCCAUUUUCGGGGGCAAGGUCUCCACUGAGUCCAAGCGAGAAAGAAAGCUGUUAAAGAGAGCCUGCCUCAACAUAGACAGCACGGACGGGCUGAUCGCAGAUCCGAAGUUUCCCGCCUGGUCCCACAGGGAGAUCUCGUUCAGUAGGAAGGACCAGUGGGCCGCUAUCCCAGAGCCGGGACGUUUCCCACUGAUUCUUGAUCCCUGCAUCAAUAGCAUUAGAUUCGAGCGCGUGCUCGUGGACGGGGGAAGCUCCAUCGACAUCCUUUUCCGCAACAGCCUGCCCGCCCUCAAGAUAUCACCGGCACAACUAAAACCUUACGACGCCCAAUUCUGGGGGGUUUUGCCAGGUCAAAGUUCGGUGCCCCUCGGACAGAUAACAUUGCCUGUCCAAUUCGGCACACCCGAUCACUUCCGGACGGAGUUCAUCAACUUCGUGGUCGCGGAUUUCGACGGGACCUACCACGCUAUACUGGGCCGCCCAUCGCUGACAAAGUUCAUGGCAGUCCCGCACUACUCAUACCUAGUCCUUAAGAUGCCCACGGAGAAGGGUGUCCUAACCAUCAGAGGCAACGUCUACACUGCGUACACCUGCGAAGAAGAAAGCUUCAAGAUCACCGAGGCAAUUGACCUCUCAAUCCGCAUGGCGGAAACAGCAAACCAAGCCGCACAGCUGCCCCCCGACCAGCUCCGAUUACCUGAGCAGGAGACAGCCAGAAAGAAUUCGAAAUCCAAGGAGCACAAAGAAGUGCAGCUGGUCGAAGGCGACCCCGAGAAAACAGCCCUCAUCGGGGCUAACCUGGAUCCAAAAUAGGAAGACGCGCUCGUCAGGUUUCUAAGGGACAACGUGAGCGUUUUCGCAUAGAAACCCGCAGACAUGCCCGGUGUCCCACGAAACCUGAUCGAGCACUCCUUAAACGUCUCGAAGACCGCAAGACCAAUCAAGCAAAAACUGCGACGGUUCGCUCGUGACAAAAAGGAGGCUAUUAGGACAGAAAUAACACGGCUUCUAGCAGCCGGAUUCAUAAAAGAAGUGUAUCAUCCCGAUUGGCUCGCCAAUCCGGUUCUUGUACGCAAAAAGAAUAAUGAAUGGAGAAUGUGCGUUGAUUACACCGAUCUCAACAAACACUGUCCUAAAGAUCCUUUUGGUCUUCCUCGCAUCGACGAGGUGGUCGACUCAACGGCCGGAUGCGAACUCCUCUCCUUUCUAGAUUGCUACUCUGGUUAUCACCAGAUCUCGUUAAAGGAAGAAGAUCAGAUCAAAACAUCCUUCAUCACACCCUUCGGCGCAUACUGUUACACUACCAUGUCUUUCGGACUUAAAAACGCCGGGGCCACUUAUCAAAGGGCCAUCCAGCAAUGCCUCCACGACGAGAUUCGCGAUGACCUCGUCGAGGCCUAUGUGGACGACGUGGUCGUAAAAACAAGGGACGCGAGCACCCUAAUCGACAACUUAGACCGAACCUUCAAAGCACUCAAUAGGUACAAGUGGAAGCUCAACCCCAAGAAAUGCAUUUUCGGCGUUCCUUCCGGCCUACUGCUCGGCAACGUCGUCAGUCGCGACGGCAUACGACCAAACCCUUCAAAAGUCAAAGCCGUACUCGACAUGCGACCACCGAAGAACGUCAAGGAUAUUCAGAAGCUAACCGGAUGGAUGGCCGCCCUCAGUCGUUUCAUCUCAAGGCUGGGAGAAAAAGGCCUCCCUUUCUUCAAACUACUGAAAGCGUCAGAAAAAUUCUCUUGGACAGAGGAAGCCGACGCUGCGUUCACUCAGCUUAAGACCUUCCUCACUUCACCGCCUGUCCUCACAGCGCCUCAGCCCAAUGAAGACCUACUCCUUUACAUUGCUGCAACCGACAGGGUUGUUUCCACGGCAAUAGUGGUCGAGCGAGAUGAACCAGGUCAUGUCUUCAAGGUCCAGAGACCCGUUUACUUCAUAAGCGAAGUUUUAAACGAAUCCAAGGCCACGUACCCACAAAUACAGAAGCUUAUAUACGCCAUCCUGAUAACGUCAAGAAAGCUGAAGCACUACUUCGACGGCCAUCGAGUCCUGGUGACAACCAGCUUUCCUCUCGGGGACAUCCUGCGCAAUAAAGACGCCAAUGGCAGAAUCGUGAAAUGGGCAAUGGAAUUAUGUCCAUUUUCCCUAGAGUUCCAGAGUCGCACCACUGUCAAGUCUCAAGCCCUGGUCGAUUUCAUUGCCGAAUGGACGGAUCUCAACGAGCCUUCCGUUCCAGAUGUCUCAGACCACUGGUCAAUGUUCUUUGAUGGGUCCUUGAACAUCAACGGUGCAGGCGCUGGGAUAUUGUUCGUAUCACCCAACAAGGACAAACUCCGCUACGUCCUUCGGAUCCUUUUUCCGGCGUCAAACAAUGUCGCCGAAUACGAAGCAUGCUUACAUGGCGUACGACUAGCCGUCGAACUGGGGGUCAAGCGCCUCUAUGUCUACGGCGACUCCGCUUUGGUCAUCAACCAGCUCAACAAGGAGUGGGACGCAACCCACGAGAAGAUGGAUCUCUACUGCAAAGAAAUUCGCAAAUGGGAAACUAACUUCUAUGGCAUAGAGUACAUCCACGUGGUCCGGGAUAAGAACCAAGCAGCAGAUGCGUUGUCAAAGUUAGGCUCGUCUCGGGCCCAAAUCCCGCGGGGUAUUUUCGUCCAGGACAUCCACGAGCCGAGCGUAGGCUCCCCCCUGGUCGACAAACGACCCACCGAGGCAAUGCUCAUAGAUGACGCCACUCCGACAACUGGUGGGCGUGACUGGCGUACCCCGUUCAUCAAAUACAUAUCAGACGGGACAGGCUUUCAGGACAAAACAGAGAACGAGCGUCUCAUCCGACGAUCAAAGAACUACAUCCUGGUCGACGGAAAACUCAUGCGGAAAAACGCAAGCUCCGAAGUACUGCUCAAGUGCAUACCCCAAGAUGAUGGUAUCAAGCUCUUGGAAGACAUACACGCCGGAUCCUGCGGCAACCACGCCGCAUCCAGAACGCUGGUCGGAAAGGCUUUCCGAGCAGGUUUUUAUUGGCCAACCGCGGUCAGCGACGCAGAAAAACUGGUUCGGCAUUGCGAAGGAUGUCAGUUUUUCGCUAAGAGGACCCACGUACCUGCCCAUGAAAUUCAAACCAUCCCGUCGUCUUGGCCCUUUGCUUGCUGGGGGCUUGACAUGAUCGGACCAUUCAAACCAGCCCCAGGCAAUUUCAAGUUUGUCUUCGUGUUAAUCGACAAGUUCUCCAAGUGGAUUGAAUACAUGCCCCUGGUCAAAGCAACCUCCGAGAAGGCUGUGGAGUUCCUCAAUCAAAUCAUACACAGAUUCGGCAUUCCGAACAGCAUAAUCACCGACCUGGGCACUCAGUUUACUGGCACCACUUUUUGGGAUUUCUGCGAUGACAGAGGCAUAGUCAUAAAAUAUGUGUCAGUGGCACAUCCACGUGCCAACGGUCAAGUUGAACGUGCUAACGGAAUGAUCGUUGACGCCCUAAAGAAAAGGUUGUACACCGAAAACGACAGAGCACCCGGUCGAUGGAUGAAAGAAUUGCCGGCUGUGGUCUGGGGCCUCCGAACUCAGACCAGUCGAAACACAGGGGUGUCUCCCUACUUCAUGGUGUACGGUGCAGAGGCGGUCUUGCCGUCCGACAUACACUUCGGAUCUCCUAGAAUCGAGCACUUCGACCAAGCGACCGCCGACAACGCCAGAGGACUCGAAAUCGAUUGCAUGGAGGAAAAGCGUUUAGUGUCGUGUCUCCGAACAGCAAAGUAUCUCGCAGCAGUCAGGCGAUACUACAACAGGAAUGUCAAGGACCGUUCGUUCGUGGUCGGCGAUCUGGAGCUUCGAUGGAAAACAAGCCAGGAGGGAAUGCACAAGCUAUCCACUCCCUGGGAAGGACCCUUCGUGGUGACCGAGGUCACACGACCUACGUCCUACAGAUUGGCAUACCCAGACGGAACACGAGUGCCUAACUCUUGGCACAUCGACAAACUGCGACGUUUCUAUCCAUAAAGUUUUAAUGACUUUCUUCUGUAAGUAUCUCAUAAUUUUUGAUAAUGAAAUUCUCUAUUUUUGGCCCAUACCUUGUCACACACAGCACUCGGCAAAACUCCUGCAACGGACGCUCUUAGCGACAACAAAGACAAAUACGGUGACACGUCACUCAGAUAUUCUUGCAGCGCUCAAAACAACAGUCAUGACAAAAAGCAAACUUUAUUACAAACUUUACAUACAAAGUUUACAAUAAAUACCCUGACGGGCAAACACUAGUCUAUUCCUACAGACUACUUUAUUGGCCUGGCUGCUCGGGCUGAUCACCCGCCUGGCCCUGCUGCCCGGACGAAGGGGUCGGGGCCACCGGCGCCUGGCUGGUCGAGACCGCAGGCGUCGACCGCCCAUCUCCCGCAACGGACGCGCCCGACAACUCCCUGGCCGACCUAUCUGAGCUCGGCUGGUCUGGAGGAGUGGCCGUUCCGCACAGAUUGAUGUCGCCGAUCACUGUCGACGACAAGUCCAGCAGAUUACCUCGAAGUUCGUCCGCUUCCUGUGGGCCGACUUCCUUCGGGUACCCCUUCUCCAGCCUGCUCAAGUCGACCAGGGGGUAGUGGGCGCGCACCAUGCUGAGGACGUGCGCGCCGGCAAACUCCCCGGCGUCCUUCACAAACUGCUGGAGCCAAUCCCACGCCCGUUGCGCCUUCUCGACCGGGGUCAACUGCGGCGCGCGGGGCUGGCUCUCCGGGAGCUCGGGACUGAUCAGGUCUAGGACCGGGGACACUCCCUUCCAGAUCCUGCAACAGUUGACCUUCCAGGAGUCCCGGUCCUUGAUCAGCUCAUCCAGGUGCUUUUUGGUGUUCACCUUGAGCACUGCAAACGAAACGAAACGUUACUUUCGGCAUACCAGACAAAUAAAGGGGCAGGCAGCAACCAACAAGGCGGCACUCAUUACCAGAUAGCUCCCGGUGUUUUCGACCCAAUUCCUCUUCUGCUCGCCGCCCGGACUCCAGCGCACCGGCGAGCUGUUGGCUGAGCUGCUCCUUCUCUUGUUGGAGGCUCGCCACCUCCUCCUCCAAGUCUGCGUGAAUCCUAAACUGGUCAGCAAAGCAAACUAUACAAGUACACGAAGCUGCUCGGAGCGUGUGACUAACCUUCCUGCAGCCGGUACUGGUCGGCCAGACGACGAGCGAGGUCGAGACGACGCUCCUUUUCGGCACUCAUCUCGACCACCUUCUCCCCGACCUCCGCGCGCAACCGGUCUACCUCCGCGGCAAGGGCCUUGUUCUCGGCCAUGACGCCUUCUAUCUGGUCAAAGCACCGUUUCCGGUACUUCGCCGUUUUCAUUACGUCCUACAAAGCAAGGAUAUAACGACCAUGCAAGACAAGGCAAAAGAAUGCGCAGCAGUACAAAGAGCCGCUUACCUUGACUUCGUCGACAAGGCGCUUGGCCGCGCGCUCCACCCUGGCGGCCUCUUCGGUCUCGGCGAGCUCCUCAUGACCGAUAAAGUGAUCCCCGCGUUGGCGCCACACAUACACGUGUUGGCGGCCAUCACGGGGACGACCCUCGAUCUCUUCCACCUCGUCAUCGGAGGCCGCCCGGGUUUCCUCCUCCUGUGCUACGUCACCCCCGGUGGUGGUCCCAGGCAUUACUGGCCCUUGGACCAGACCUGGGGAGCCCGCAGCCGAAGAGGCUCCUGCUCGGGGCGGCGGGGGGACUUCACUCCCCCCGGCAGGAGGAGCGGUCGGAGAUCUUCCCUUCUCUGCGGAGUCAGUUGGGGGAGCCUCUCCAGCCCUGGUCGGGCUGCUUGUUGUAGUCGGCGCCGCGCUUGGGAGCCCCUCGGUGCUCCCAGGCGCGCUCGCAGCUGUUGGCUGCUCUGUGGUCUGGGGGGCCGCAUCCCCAGAACCGCGGGCAGGCUCGCCCGUUCCCUGGCUGGCAGUUUGGCCAGGGUCGACAUCCGAUGCCGCACUACAGGAACAAAAGUUAAAAAAAAAAGAUGAGUCCAAAAUACGUAAGUCGAACACUUACAGGUCUGACCGACGGUGGGUCGCGGUGAACCUCCUCCUCGCCCGGCCGGUCGGCACCUGUGCCCCCAUCUCAGCAACUUGCGGGGCAGCGGCGCCGCUGGCCACUCGAUCAGUGGCGACCGGCGCAGUGUCUGGGCGGCUCCGAGGCCGUCGAACCAACGACGGCGCAGCCUCCUCGUCGUCGUCGUCGUCGACGAUCCGCACGAGCCGACGACGCUUCGGUGCUUGGCUGCUCUCCGCCGGGAGAUCUGCCGGCAGCCCCGGUGUCGGCAAGGGAUCUGCCGGCAAUGGCCUUUUCCCCGCAACCCUCUCCUCGGAGGUCGGGACGGGGCGGGCUCGGUCUUCCUCACUGCUGGUGUAAUGAGUACACCGAGCAGCGUCCUCCUCUGGCGGGACCUCUCCCACCGGAUUUUCCAUCCCCGGUGCCAGUGAUACAUACACUGCGCACCGGUCGACAUCACCGACCUGCAAAAGCAACAGAGAUGAGUCAACUGCAGACGAUAUAUGAAUGAUCAAACAGAAUCUGCUACAUACCUUUGGUGCUGGUCGUCCUAACUUGAAGGCUUGCACCCGAUCACUGCCACGGAUGAAGCCCCCAUCCGCGAAGUUAAACAGCUCGUUCAACAGCUGUUGUACCUCCGCUUUCUCCAAGAUCUCCGACCGCAUCCUGGUCGGGUCUGCGCUUCCGGCAUACUCGUACGCCGAGUGCACCCUCUUCUGGCAGGGCAUCACCCGGCGGCAAAUGAAGUUGCCGACCACGCCAAGCCCGUCUAGGCGCGACCAGUCGAUCAGCUUCAUGAGAUCCGCCACUGGUCCGUCGAACUCCGGUCGGUCGGUCCAGCUCGCCCUCUUCUCGGGAAUGUAUCCAACGUCGCAGAACGUGGAGCUGCCCGGUUCCUCCCUGAUGUAGAACCACUUCCUGUACCAUUCGGUCAAGGAAGUGUUCCAUGGGCAAUGCAGGUAGCGAUUCUUCAUCCCAUCACGAAGGUUGAGGUAUACUCCACCUGCAACCUUGGAGCCUCCAACUGCUCCCUUCUUCCUCAAGCAGAAAAGAUACCGGAAAAGAUCAAAGUGCGGCUCUAUGCCAACAUAGGCCUCGCACAGGUGGAUGAAGGUGGAAAUAAGGAGAAUAGAGUUCGGGUGCAGAUUGCAAAUCCCGAUCUCAUAGUACAAAAGAAGACCUUGAAGAAAAGGAUGAACAGGAACACCAAAGCCUCUCUUAACGAAAUCUUCAAAAACGACGAUCUCACCGGCGCGAGGGUCGGGGUAGCUCUCCCCCUCCGGUGCCCUCCAGCCGCCGAGCUCUGCGCCGUGCAGAAGCCCCAUAUCGACGAGGUCACCAAGAGAUUUUGUGGUGCUGCGAGAUUUCUUCCACUCCUUGGCCAUCAGUUCGGCCCUCUUCCUGCAGUCGCUCUUCGCCAUUAGAGGUGCGAAUGUGGGCUGGAGUUAGGGAGAUGCAGGAGACUGGAGAAGAUGAGAGCGGAAGGUUUGAAGGCAAUGGCAGGCGAAGCGGUACAGGAGGUCCUAUUAGGCCCUUAUAAACCCGCGACCCCACCUCUCCCACUUCCUGUAUUCUCGGGAAGUGGGCAGGCCAUGCGGCGGACGCGGCGUUUCGGUUUACAAUGAUUACAGACAAUUAAGGCCGCGGAGUUUUCGUACCAAUUGAUGGUUUCCUUUUCUCAAACCAUGCAAAGAGCGGUUGUACAGUUGCCAGGUGCAGCUUUUCAUGCAUCUGUCUGACAUAUCAUCAGGAGACCGCGUCACGUCAACUUUAACUAGAAAGAUCUUUUCAAAAGUAAGAAGACACAUACGCCAGUGAGUCAACAAUCCGAGGACUGCACCGACCACCGAGCACUCGACGCUCGGGGACUGGUCGCCCAGUCUAUCAGCUCGGAACUUCAAGGACUGCACCGACCACCGAGCACUCGACGCUCGGGGACUGGUCGCCCAGUCUAUCAGCUCGGAACUCCAAGGACUGCACCGACCACCGAGCACCCGACGCUCGGGGACUGGUUGCCCAGUCUAUCAGCACGGAACUUCAAGGACUGCACCGACCACCGAGCACUCGACGCUCGGGGACUGGUCGCUCAGUCUAUCAGCUCAAAGCUUUAAAGCAUGCACCGACCACUGAGCAUUCGACGCUCGGGGACUGGUCGUACAGUAUAGCAACAUAUAAUUCCAAGAAGCACACUAAGUGCUUGGGGACUGGUCGAUUGGUCUUUUCAAUUGCAGACGAGCAUGACAUGCUCGGGGACUGGUAAGUUCAAUUUUUUAGACCUUGCUACAAGGCUCAUACUUCGCCUUCCAGCAAGCUCGGGGACUACAUCGGUACGAUGCAUCUAGCGAUGCAUCUCAGUCUCAAAACUACUUUGGGGAAUUUUCUUUUGACCCUGGCACCACGUGCCUACGCCACCUACUACCAGGCUCGGGGACUAAGUGGGCACACUUCACCUAGCGGUGAAUUUGCUUGCUUUUUUGAUGCUUCUACAUUUCAAAAAGGCAAAGUGGGCACACUUCACCAGGAAAGAAAUUUUUUUUUAGAGCACCAUGCAUUCUUCGAACAACCUGCUUCUUCGAUGUCAAUGUUGGUCAACUGUCUUUCGAGUUGGUCAAGGAACCGUUGCAACUGUUUGGGCGAUUUUCCCGCUUAUUGAAGACGACAGGCCUCGCUGAUCGAAGAAGCUCAAGACGGCGUGUUGCAUCACAAUACAUGGCGCUCGGGGACUAGCUGUGGGGGUAUAAACCCCUAUACCCUUACGGCUAGACUUCAGCCAGGAAGCUUGGUCCACUACGAGACGAGUUCAAGGCUUGAUCAGACAGCCCGAGUUUCGCGCAAGGAAACAAGACGUGGAGAUCAAGCAGAAUUCUAGUCGGUUAGAAUAGGAAUUGAUAUCGAAUUAUCUAUGGCAAUUGUAACCGACUAGGAUUAGUUUCUAGAUCUGUAACCCUGCCCUCCAGACUAUAUAAGGAGGGGCAAGGGACCCCCUAGGACAUCAUAUUCUCUCAGCACAAAUCAAUACAACCAGACGCAGGACGUAGGUAUUACGCCAACUCGGCGGCCGAACCUGGAUAAAAAGCUUGUCCGUGUCUUGCGUCACCAUCGAGUUCGUAGUUCGCGCACCGUCUACCGACAAACUACUACCGUGGGUAUACCCCAAGGUAGACUGCCGACUAGCUUUCGUCGACAAUGUCUAAUCAGAUUAAAGAAGGCAGUUUAACCUAAGCACCAUGCUUAAUUUUAAAGCCAAUAGAAGUAUGUGCAGUACUUCCAAACUAACACUUACUAGUAAAUAGACAAAGGUAACAUGACAGCAUUUAUAGAGAUCUACUCAAGUGGAGAUGAAGUAGUGUGAUUAGUAUUUAACAAAUUGAGCAUGUCUCAAAGGUAGGGACAACCAACAUAGCAACAUGGCAAAGGAUGUUUUUAUGUAAAGUACUCCCCCAAGCUUGAAUUUUGCAGAAUUCAAGUUUGGAUGAAUUUAAUUCAGUGUUGCAUGAUGAUUGGUUGGACAUACCUUGUACUUGCUUGUCAUUCAUCCGAUCUUCUUGUUCCAAUCCUGGAAAGGUUAGUGACAAGAAUACCCGAAGGAAUAUUUUUACAAUUAUCCUUAUAUGCUCAAUACACAAGGUAAUGUUGCAAAUAAUUAAAAACUCAUGUUAUGAUCUGAUCAGUGCUUAUUUUAGGACACUAAGCUUGUCCUUGGGAAACCAUCAAUUUAUGUCGGCGAAGUGGUUUCCCUUCAAACGCUGACCUAUAUCAAGAUCAACUCAACGAGAUCUGCAAUAUUUAUUAUAGACAUAUGCAUCGACAACCGCCCUUUUAAAGUUUUUAUAAAUAGAAAGGAAGAGGGGGUUGGAGAUCUCAAAUGUGGUGAUGUUGGAGAGACCAAUAGAUUGGGAAGAUGUUUCAUAUGAGCAUGGAGUAAAUGAAGUGGUUAUGAAAUAAAUUCCAUGCUCAUUAAUGUUAUCUUCGUCUCUAAUCUGAAUGUUUGGAGUUUCUCCUGGAUUGGUCUCACUUAUGUCCUCUUCUAUAUUUGGAUGAAUCCCAUCUUCAAGGGAGUCAAGAACUCACCAUUUGAAAUUGAACCAAAGUCAGAAUUCAUUAAGGCUUCUUCCUUAUCCAUCCAUUCUACACAUUCUAGCCAUUUAGAACUUGUGAUGAGGAAAGGGGAGGUGUUAGAAUUUUCAAUAUGGCUUAGCUCUCCUUCACUUGAUAUGUCAUCCUCGACUUCCUCAUAAUAGGAACCAGGACAUUCUCUAAGAGAACCAUUAUUGCGAGGAUUUGAAUUAUCCCUGCUUGAAGGACUCUUAUGGAACCAGAAGUCUAAACCAUCAGCAUCUGAAAGAUUUAAGGUCGGAAUUCCUUCCUCCCUUGGAGAAUUUUGGGGUAUUGAUGGUUUAGGAUCGAUAGCUAAAGUUUGGAAUUGAAGUGGUUGUGAUCUGGCUAUCGAAACUUCUUCUUCUUGUCUAGGAACUAGUUCUGUCUCUUUCUCAGGGAUAUAAAAGCUAGGAGACUUUCCACUUAAUAAAUCAAUCAAAUUCCAAGCUUCACUAGCAGGUAGGUGAUAGAAGGAUCCUCUAGAGGCUGUAUUCAAGGUUUGCUUAUUUUCCCCACUAAGGCCCUCAAAAAAGUGAAUUAGAAGAACUUCUUCUGGAAUAGAAAGCUUUGGGCAGUGAGAGUAAGGUUAAUAAAGCGGUCCCAUGAUUUCCUAAGAGAUUCUUCUUCCAGUUGCCUAAAAGAAAUAAUCUCACGCCGAAGUUCCGCCACUUUGGAGAUUGGAAAAUAUUUUAAAAUAAAACUAUUAUGUAACUCCUUCCAAUCUCCAUGAACACUCCCUACUUUGAGUUUAUACCAAUGUCUAGCUUUUCCCGUUAAAGAGAACGGAAAGAGCUUCCAUUUAUGGGUCUCAUCAGACAUGCCUUCAAUGCGAAGGAGGUCACAGACUCGAUAAAACUCUCUUAGGUGUGUGUAUGGGUUUUCCUCACCUUCUCCUGAGAAAGGUUGUUUUUGAACAAAUUCUAUGUAUUCGGGGUCUAUCUCAAAACUAGAUGCUAUGAUAGGCUUUGAAGAUUUUGGUGGUUCGAGAUGUGUGCCCGUAGGUCUAUGAAAUUCAUAGAUAGACGUGUUUGAAUUCAUGAUAGACCAGAGAUCAAGGAUUAGAUAAGAAGAAAGAUUAGCAGAGAUGAGGCAAAGGAUAAAAGGAAAAAAAAAAUUUAUUUUUUUUAGAAAAUGAUUAAGCUAGUUCGUAGUCAACUCAGCAACCGUUUCCCUGGCAACGGCGCCAAAAAAUGCUUGUUGACACUUGCUAACACCACUUGAAUACUAGGUUGUCAUCCCCAGCAUGGCACUAGAGUGUACUAUGGUAUUUAUACGCACAGAGAUAAUCCGCAAGCGCACGGAUACCGUUAUAGCUUUUUCCCGGUUAAAGGUUUUAUCGUAUCCACAGGGAAAAGGGAGAACCAACUACGCUCUAACUUAACCAGGAUAGAUAGAUAAGUGUAAAUAGGAAAGAUGGUAGAAUCGAAUAAGAACAAUAUUAAAGGUAAGAUAACAAUGAGUGAUAAUAUGGGAAUAGAGAAUAGAGCAAUUCUAGUAUAUGGGCGAUGGUAGCAGAAUAGAGAGUAUAACUAUGGUUUCUCUACUUCAAAGGGGUAUGUCUAUGUCUGGGACGAACCACGUGAUAAGAGUACACCACAAAGGAUGCUUAUCCUUAGGCCGAUAAACCCUACCCGUCCUGCUAACAAGAGGUGGACUACAGGGGACCAACGUAACUGCCACCUACGCGGCCUACCACACGAUCCAGCUAGACAGGGGAUAUCCACAAGUAAUCUAGAUCUAAGCACCUCGCUUACACCUAUACUACAACUCUCACCUAUAGUGUCCUAUAGAUUAAAGUACUCAAAAGAGUUGUGAACCAGAACAUACAUAAUUAGUAAUUGCAUAAUGAAUUAGAAGUAGAUUACCAGAGUCAUCCCAUGAGCAAGCUUGAUUAGAGCUUGAUCAUGACGAAGUACAACCGGAGGAAGAACCGACAGGCCGGCCUCUCCUCUAAUCCUCCUUCGCUCUCCAUCUUGCUACUAUCUAGAUCUACUCUAGUUUAGAGAAGAGUGGAGAGCUCUCAUCUCUAAACCCUAGCUUUUGCUCUGUCUAUGAAUAAUGAAUAAUGAUCAAGGGGGUGCCUCCUCCAGGGGCCAGGGGGUGUGGUUAUAUAGUCUUUUCAGAUGAAUCUGGGCCGUCAGAUCAAACCGACAUUGAUCGUGUGGUUUUCCUUGAAGUAUUAGGCCGGUGGAGCAUGAUCCGCGAAGUUGAAGCUGAUUGGUUACUGUAGCUGGGCGGGCGCCCAAGGGACUUGGGCGGGCGCCCUGCCCCCGGGCCCGAUCGGCCUCCCGUUCGUUCCCGUGGUUCUGGAGUCUUCUAGAUGGUAGAAAAUUGCGCGGCACGUUAAUAUCUCUAUGUAAACCCGACGUGUGGGCCUUUCUUUCAUAUUUCCUGAUAACCCCCUGCAGAAAUAGACAAACACCAAAACUCGUGGAAUUCUGUCAGAUAAAACCCUAAGUCUAGAUGUUGAUUUCAUUUGGAUCCUUUUCUUUGUUUAUUUGAUAAUUAAAUUUGAUACUUAAGGACCGUCAACAAUUGUCAGUGAUAACCCUAUUCUAGUAGAUAUUCAUGUAUGGUGGAGAGUUAAUAGAUAACAAAUAUUGUGGGUUAAGAGGUGUCAACAAUUACCCCACACUUAGGCUUUUACUCGUCUCGAGAAAAAGAUGGGUUCUAUUAUAAAGAAUAAACAUUCAAUGCAUAACUUGGAAAUUAAAUUAUAUAAAACUAGCCUAGCUACCAUGCAUUGUGGAAUUUUAAAGUGUUUUAUCAUGAAUUCUGUAGUGAUUGUGGAGUAGGAUAGCUUAAAACAGAUUACUCUCUUUCUUUAAUUAUGUCUAUUGGAGAGUAAGUGGAGUUUGCAAAUAACACAUAGCUUUGACCUUCUCUUAUUUGUAGUGACAUCAACGGUUGUUAUAUUAAUUUGAUAUUCAUAACCGGGGAGAGAAAUAUCAUAUUCCUAGAUUAGAAAAAUCAUCCACUCCUUGGCAUAUUAUGUUGGAGGAACCAUGAGCUCUUUUUUAACUAAUUCUACUUAUGAGCACAUGUUCAUAUUUCUUUUCUUAUUGAAUCAAGGUUCUGGACACUUGUCCCUUUUUAUUUCCUCGUGAUCUAUCUUUUUGAGGUUUCAGACACUUGUCCCUUUUUAUUUCCUCGAAUUUCUUUAUGAAUAGCUCAUGCCUCCUUCAUAAUAAUGCUUUUGUUGGUGCAAAAGCUGAUCUGCAAACACAAAGGGCUAAUACCCGAUUCAAACAUUAAGGCGUGCCAGCCAAUUUGACCUUACUAUCGGCAAAGGUGGUAACUCGAAUACUUUGGUCCUGACAACAGCAAUGCGCCUGGAUGUCACGGCCAAGAGGUACUCACGCGGAACUCAAGAAUACGCCGAGCUUAAGUCAACGAAUUACUAAGAACUCGUAGUAAAAAGGAAAAUAUGACGAAGUUGUCGAAAAAGUAGAUGCUGGAAUAUGAGUAAAAAAUUAUGUUUGAUUGAUUGAUAGAUAUCUCAUUACAAGGCCCUAGGGUCUACAUUUAUACCCUGCUCAAAGAUCUACAAUCAGACACGACUAGGACUCGAAUUCCAAAUUAAACAGAAUCCGUGUACAAAACGAAUUUAAAUAACUAAGGAAAACAUAAAACCACCCCCCUUGUAACCGACCGGGACACCGCCACAGAUCAAUCGGCAACCUCCACACUUUCCUUCAGAGUCAUCGGCAGUCUUCCUGUUAUGGCCAUCGGCAAACACCAAUAUUAAUCAUCAGCAAGAACACGUCACCACCUCUGGACUUAGUCAUAUUCAAUCGUCUCUUCAUCGGCAACUACCCUCAUCGGCAACUCUUUUGUAGGCUAUUUACCGUUGCUCCACCUGCCGAUCUAUACUCUACUGGUCUCUGGGUACGCGUCCAAAAACGGUGUCAACACAUGCCCCCCAAUUUCGGAGUAUGGAAUCAUUAAUGCUCCGAAAUUCUCUGCAGUAAUGAUGCCUUUCCGCAAUUAAUUCUCCCAAUUUGGUAACCGACCGUUUAAAUCUGAACAACCUCGGCCCGAUUCUCCUGCAGGUUCCUCGAAUUCCUCAACCUUCCGAACCGGAUCUCUCCACUUUAUGCGUCCAUCGGCAAUAUUACCGUUAGAGGGAACUGCCGAUGGACCGACCAAGAAAUCCCGCACAGUGAAAUAUCUCCAGAUCAUGACCGCUUCCUGUCAAAUCACCUGCGCAAUCCCUUGAUUACUGUGCGAACAGUUACCAUAUCCACCUGAGUAUUGUAACACCCCAGUGUUAUGGUUGCUUUAAUCAUGUGCAUAGUAUGAGCAUCAUCAUCUACUCAAAGCAUAUCAUGAUCAUCAUCUAUCUUGAGCCAUGUCAUUCUAUGCAAAUAUGUAAUCUAAAUUGCUUAAAUAGGCUUCCUAUGCUUAUGUUGGAGUGAACCAUGCUUGUGUUUGUGCUCUAUGCCUUGGUAAUUAGUUUAUUUAUGUUUAACUUAACCUUGGGAACAAUGUUCAUGUUGAUCACUUCUCCAAAAUAAUCAUUUAAGUCAUACUUGUGCUAAUAGGCCCUAGAAACCUCUUUUGCUUAGGCUUUUAAAAAGUGUUUCAUAAAAUGUUUGCAUGUCAAAACUUUCUACAGCAAAGUUGUAGUAAAUUUUAUAAGGAACAAAAGUUGUUUUAUGGCCAUCUCAUGAAAAUGACCACAAAUAGCUCAAAAGUGACCCACAACGCAAAUUUGGGGCUGUUUCCAACACUAGUUUGCUCGAUCGAUUUUGAAAACUUUAUAACUCUCAAUCCAUGCCGAUCUAGCUCUUGCUCCAGUUGAAAGAGUUGUAGAUCUCGGCUAGUACUCCAACUUUGUCAACUACAUCAUCUCCUAACUCGCUCUGGUUUGGAAGUUAUUCAUCGUUGAAGUCGCUCUGUCAGACAGUCGCCGUUUUCUCUGAAUCGAAGCCGAGCUCGCCGUCGUGGAUGGCCAGAGCGCCACCUGUCCGCCAGAUGGCGCCCAUAUGCCGGCGAUGGCCCCGCUCGUCAGCUCCCAGCGCGCGCAUGACGUCCACGGUGACGCCCCGAGCAGAGUGGACGCGUCCACUCUCGCUUCCUCGCCCUCUCGCGCCUGUAACCCGACCGCAGCGAGCUCACCGUCGCGAGCUCACUCCGGCGAGCUCGUGUGCGCUCCUCGCUGCGUCUCAGUCCACCAAAUUCCACCCACAGCUCCGCCAUGAGCCGCUCUUCACUUCCCACCCUCUAACUCGCCGCGAAACCCACCGGUGAGCCGCCAUUUCCUUCUUCCCCCAACUCGGGUCGUCGUGACCAUCUUUUCCGGCGAACUCAAUGCCGGGCUCUGUGAAGCCGCUCGUCUUCUCUGGUUAGGUCCGAGAGGUAGAGUAGGUUCUCAGCGAGCGUUUGCGCCACUUGGUGGACGCUCUACCGAACUCUCCGUCAGCGGACACGAUGCGCAGCGCCGCCGUGUUUCCGCCGGAGAUGGGUGCUCUCGUGGCCAGCGUGCUCCACGAGGUUUCAAGCCAAGCCGCGUACAAAAGUUCCGCUUGCUUCGGUUGACUGAAGGUUUGAAGGCAGAGUAUGUAGCUCAUCAACUGCAGGGUCCAACAGGCAUCUGGUGGAAUCAGUAUCGGGAAGCUCUUCCAGCCGACACUGUGCUUGACUGGAAUCUUUUCCGUGAUGCUUUUAAAGGGCAUUUCAUUCCUCCUGGUGUCAUGGAGAUGAAGCAUACUGAGUUCAUGCAAUUAACCCAGGGUAACAAAACUUUGAAGGAGUAUUUGCAUGCUUUCAAUCAUUUGUCUAGGUAUGCUCCAGAGUUUGUGAACACUGAGGCGAAAAAGAUUGCUAGUUUCAAGCGGGGUUUGGGCCCCAAGUUGCUGAAGACUAUGGGCCGCACUAAGUGUGCAACUUUCAAUGAGUUUGUCAGUGAUGCUCUCACUCAAGAGAACUAUAACACUGUGUACACUGCUACCAAGACUCGCAAGAGGGCUUUUGAGGCCGGGACAGGGUCAUCUCAGUCCAAGGCUCCAGUGGCAGCUAAGCCACCGUUCCGCGCUCCAACGCCUAACCAGCGGUACCGCCCUCCGGUGAAGAAGAAUCAGGCGAAGACGGGUUUUCGCAAGGGGUACUCUAUUGCUCUUCCUAAGGGCAACACGGGUCCCAACUAUGCCAAGACUCCACCUGCCAACCGUCUGUGCUGGAACUGCAAUCAGACCGGGCAUUGGCAGAGCAACUGUCCUUACCCGCCAAAGAAGGUCAAUCAAGGGAAUGUCCGUCAGGGGCGUGUUCACUACACUACUGUAGAAGCAAUCCCUGCUGGUGAGGUAGUUACGGCUGGUAAGUUUCUAGUCAAUCAACAUGACGCACUUGUGCUUUUUGAUUCAGGAGCAUCGCAUUCUUUUGUGAGUUCUGAAUUUGUGUCUAACAAUAAUAUCAAGGCAUUUACACUUGAUAAGGGCAGUUAUUGUAUUAGUGCUGCGGGAAAUGAUAUUUCCACCAAUCAAGUGGUUUUGGGGGCAACUCUGGAAAUAGGAGGCCGUCAGUUUCUUGCUGAUUUGGUUGUUCUACCCGGUGUGGGCAUAGAUCUAAUUCUGGGGAUGAAGUGGAUGAGUGGCAAUGGAGUUCUUAUCGACACCACCACUCAUGUAGUGAUGUUGAAAGACCCAAACACCAAGAAGGCAUUUCUAGUGCAACUUCCUCGGGAUAUUCAAAUCCCUAGCACUAUGAAUGCAGUUACAUCUAAGGCUAUUCAGGAUAUUCCGGUGGUGUGUGAGUUCCCGGAUGUUUUUCUUGAUGAUUUGCCCGGGCUUCCUCCGGAUCGGGAUGUGGAGUUCAAAAUUGAAUUGAUUCCCGGUACCGCUCCUAUCUCUAGAAGACCUUAUAGAAUGCCACCCAAUGAAUUAGCUGAGCUUAAGACCCAGUUGAAUGAGUUGUUGAAGAAGGGUCUUAUCCGUCCUAGUUCAUCUCCGUGGGGUUGUCCGGCUAUCUUUGUGAAGAAGAAGGAUCAAUCCUUGUGCAUGUGUGUGGACUAUCGUCCCCUAAAUGCGGUGACCAUCAAGAAUAAAUACCCUCUUCCUCGCAUUGAUAUCUUGUUUGAUCAGUUGUCUAAAGCCAAGGUAUUCUCCAAGAUUGACUUGCGAUCUGGGUACCAUCAGAUCAAGAUCCGUCCUGAAGAUGUACCUAAGACAGCUUUCUCGACAAGGUAUGGGUUGUACGAGUAUCUCGUCAUGUCCUUCGGUCUUACAAAUGCACCUGCUCACUUCAUGUAUCUCAUGAAUUUGGUGUUCAUGCCCGAAUUGAACAAGUUUGUGGUGGUCUUCAUUGACGAUAUCUUGGUAUACUCCUGCAAUGAAGAGGAGCAUGCAGAGCAUCUGCGUAUAAUGUUGUCGCGUUUGCACGAACAUCAGCUUUAUGCCAAGUUUAGCAAAUGCGAGUUUUGGCUGAAGAAAGUACCUUUCUUGGGCCAUGUCUUAUCUGAAGAAGGCAUAUCGGUGGACCCAACCAAGGUGCAAGAGGUGCUGGAUUGGAAAGUUCCAACUUCGGUACACGAGGUUCGGAGUUUUCUUGGUCUGGCUGGAUAUUAUUGUCGAUUCAUUCCUGAAUUCUCAAAGAUAUCUAAGCCUAUGACUUGUCUACUUCAGAAGGAUGAGAAGUUUGUGUGGACGCCUGAGUGUGAAGAGGCAUUCCACAAGUUGAGGACAUUGCUGACAUCAGCUCCUGUCCUAGCUCAACCUGAUAUCGAAAAGCCCUUCGAUGUCUUUUGUGACGCGUCAGGCAUUGGUUUAGGCUGUGUGUUGAUGCAGGAAGGUCGCGUUAUCGCGUAUGCCUCGCACCAACUUCGAAAGCAUAAGGUUAAUUACCCUACUCAUGACUUAGAAUUGGCAGCAGUUGUUCUUGCUUUGAAAAUCUGGAGGCAUUAUUUGCUGGGUAAUCUGUGUAAUAUCUACACCGAUCAUAAAAGCCUCAAGUAUAUCUUCACUCAACCUGAACUGAACAUGCGGCAGCGAAGGUGGCUUGAGUUGAUUAAAGAUUAUAAUCUACAAGUGCACUAUCAUCCGGGCAAGGCGAACGUGGUAGCGGAUGCCUUGAGUCGGAAAGCGCACUGUCACUCAAUCCAAGUCGAAGAUCUGUUGUUAUCACAUCUUAUGCAUCCAUUUGUGCUCCACCAGAUUUCUUUAGAGAGUGCUCUUCGCAAUCGAGUCAUCGAAUUGCAGCAAUCAGAUGUAGGCAUCCACCAUAUAAAGAGGAAAAUGAAGGAAGAGGAAACCAAGCAUUUCCGGAUCGAUGAGAAUGGGAUUCUUUGGUUCAAAGAUCGACUAGUGGUCCCAAAAGACCGCGAGCUGCGAAAUCAGAUAUUGUCUGAAGCUCAUUCAUCCAAAUUGUCUAUCCAUCCUGGUAGUAGCAAGAUGUAUCAGGAUCUAAAACCUUUGUUUUGGUGGACAAAGAUGAAAAAGGAGAUCGCUGCUUUUGUCGCUCGAUGUGACAAUUGUUGUCGUGUGAAGGCUGUUCACAUGAAAGCUGGUUUGCUUCAACCCUUGUCAAUUCCUGGUUGGAAAUGGGAAGAAGUCAGCAUGGAUUUCAUCAGUGGGCUCCCAACUUCUGUUAAGGGCUACGACUCCAUCUGGGUGAUUGUAGAUCGUUUGACCAAGGUUGCUCAAUUUAUUCCAGUCCGAACUGACUAUCGUCCACAUCAAUAUGCAUAAUUGUAUUUCGAGCACAUUGUUCGUCAGUAUGGUGUGCCUCGAACUAUUAUAUCAGAUCGUGGACCACAGUUCACUGCUCGUUUUUGGGAAUGUCUGCAUGAGCAGAUUGGUACUCAUUUAGUCCGUAGCUCUGCUUAUCAUCCCCAAAUGACUGGUCAAACUGAACGGGUUAACCAAAUCUUAGAAGACAUGUUGAGGGCAUGUGCUCUCUCUUCGAAAGGUUCUUAGGUUAAGUGGCUGCCAUUAGCUGAGUUCUCCUACAACAAUAGUUAUCAGGAGAGUAUCAAGAUGGCUCCAUUUGAAGCCCUGUACGGUCGAAAGUGUCGAACCCCGUUGAAUUGGGUAGAAGCCGGAGAACGAAGGUAUUAUGGCAUCAAUUUCGUGAACGAAGCAGAGCAGAAGGUCCGUACCAUUCAGCAACAUCUGGAAGCUGCUCAAGCUCGUCAGAAAAGUUAUGUCGACAAAAGAAGGAAGCUGAUUGAGUUUUCAGUUGGCGACCAUGUGUAUAUCAAGGUGUCUCCGAUGAAGGGUGUACAAAGGUUCGGGGUCAAGCGAAAGCUUGCGCCUCGUUAUGUGGGACCUUAUCGGAUUCUCGAAAAGAAAGGGAAUGUGGCGUACAAAGUUCAACUUCCAGUUGCGCUUCGAGCUAUUUUCCCUGUCUUCCACGUAUCACAAUUAAAGAAGUGCCUUCGUGUACCGGAGGAACAAGUGGAAGUUCGAGAUAUCAAGUUGAAGUCAGACCUGGUGUAUGAGGAGAAACCCGUAGCGAUUCUUGAUCGCAAGGAACGGGAGACUAGUAAUCGUGUGGUUAAGCUCUACAAGGUGUUGUGGAGUAACCACGGGGAGGAAGAUGCCACUUGGGAGACGGAGGAUUAUUUAAGAGAAGUUUACAAAACAUUCUUCGAAAAUCAGUAAGCUUUCAAAUCUCGGGAUGAGAUUUUUGUAAGGGGGGAGGGCUGUAACACCCCAGUGUUAUGGUUGCUUUAAUCAUGUGCAUAGCAUGAGCAUCAUCAUCUACUCAAAGCAUAUCAUGAUCAUCAUCUAUCUUGAGCCAUGUCAUUCUAUGCAAAUAUGUAAUCUAAAUUGCUUAAAUAGGCUUCCUAUGCUUAUGUUGGAGUGAACCAUGCUUGUGUUUGUGCUCUAUGCCUUGGUAAUUAGUUUAUUUAUGUUUAACUUAACCUUGGGAACAAUGUUCAUGUUGAUCACUUCUCCAAAAUAAUCAUUUAAGUCAUACUUGUGCUAAUAGGCCCUAGAAACCUCUUUUGCUUAGGCUUUUAAAAAGUGUUUCAUAAAAUGUUUGCAUGUCAAAACUUUCUACAGAAAAGUUGUAGCAAAUUGUAUAAGGAACAAAAGUUGUUUAAUGGCCAUCUCACGAAAAUGAUCACAAAUAGCUCAAAAGUGACCCACAAGGCAAAUUUGGGGCUGUUUCCAACACUUAGAAAAUUUUCUAAGUCCUGGAACGAAACCAGUUUGCUCGAUUGAUUUUGAAAACUUUAUAACUCUCAGUCCAUGCCGAUCUAGCUCUUGCUCCAGUUGACAAAGUUGUAGAUCUCGGCUAGUACUCCAACUUUGUCAACUACAUCAUCUCCUAACUCACUCUGGUUUGGAAGUUAUUCAUCGUUGAAGUCACUCUGUCACACAGUCGCCGUUUUCUCUGAAUUGAAGUCGAGCUCGCCGUCGUGGAUGGCCAGAGCGCCACCUGUCCGCCAGAUGGGGCCCGUACGCCGGCGAUGGCCCCGCUCGUCAGCUCCCAGCACGCGCAUGACGUCCACGGUGACGCCCCGAGCAGAGUGGACGCGUCCACUCUCGCUUCCUCGCCCUCUCGCGCCUGUAACCCGCCCGCAGCGAGCUCACCGUCGCGAGCUCACUCCGGCGAGCUCAUGUGCGCUCCUCGCUGCGUCUCAAUCCACCAAAUUCCACCCACAGCUCCGCCGUGAGCCGCUCUUCACUUCCCACCCUCUAACUCGCUGCGAAACCCACCGGUGAGCCGCCAUUUCCUUCUUCCCCCAACUCGGGUCGCCGUGACCAUCUUUUCCGGCGAACUCAAUGCCGGGCUCUGUGAAGCCGCUCGUCUUCUCUGGUUAGGUCCUAGAGGUAGAGUAGGUUCUCAGCGAGUGUUUGCGCCACUUGGUGGACGCUCUACCGAACUCUCCGUCGCCGGACACGAUUCGCUGUGUUUAUGUGGAACUAUUACGAUCUUGGUUUUUUGCGACUUGGUUUGAAGUCCUUCGUGAUUUCAAUUGACUACCGGGAUUAUAUGGGCUCAAGUUUGGAAACUUGAUUUCAUUGUGGAUCGUUUCUACACUUGAACUCUUAUAAUUUGGUCGGUUCUGUGACAAGUAUCCUCAGAUUUCACGGAUACGGUGAAGAGAUAAGUCAAAUUUUCCCUUGCCCGUUUUGUCCUAUAAAUACUUCCUUCUCGGAUACUCCUUCUCCAUCGCAUCAUUCUACAGCCCCAACUCUACUUUCCUGGCGGUGGCACUGUUCGAGAGCUCCAAGAACUCCAACAAGAACUUCCUCCAACAACUCCCAAGUUUUCGAUAUUCUCCCCUGCAAGUAGAUGGCCAUCAACUUCGUCGUUCCUGAGGUCAGCGUACUGCCCUUUUUCCCGUACUUUUACUGUACCCCUGUUCAUCUGCAAUCUGUCUUACCGAAUCCUUUUUCUUUUUGUUCUUCUUUUCACUCCCAAAAAUUUCUAGGAUUUGGCCGAUAAAAUCGUUAUUCCUACCGAUCAACCCCAUCUCCAAUUCCUUGGUCCACUAGGAAACUUGGAUCCCACCGAUCUUAUAAACGCAAAGACAAACAGAAUCCCUUUUAGAGCCGAGAAUUUCUCUCUAGAUCUAUGGAAAGAUGUUUUCUGUUCCUGGCCUAGUCCUACUAAGGGAUGGAAGGAUUGGUUCCUGAGAGUCAGUAACUCAAAUGAGGUCCAAUGGGGUGAACGGAAACUGGAUCAGUGCAUUAGAUUGUCUCUUGCCGAUAUGGAGAGAAAUGAGUCACUACUGAUAGCUACCUCAUACUUUUGGUCAGAUACACUCAAUGCUUUUGUGUUUGGCCAUGGCCCUGCUUCUCCUACACUUGCCGAUGUGCUUAUGCUCACCGGCUUAAAUAUAUCCACUGCCGAUACCACCCACCUGUUUGAUACCAAACCCAGUGCUAAGGUGGAAACUCGUUGUAUCGGCGGUUGGUCAGGGUACAUCCAGAAAUACCGAAGAACAUGCCCUGUCAAUAUAAAAGAACAGACCACUUUUCUGAACAUGUGGCUGGAUAAAUUCGUAUUCUGUGGCCGAUCGGCAGGACCAACUUCUAUUUACUUAUCGGCAGCAGAAAGAUUAGCCAAUGGCGGCCGAUUUCCUCUUGGCCGAUACUUGCUUGGCUCGGCUUAUCACCUCCUCCAUCAGGUAGCCCAGAAACUAUUGCUUGGUCAACCCAUCGGCAACUUAGGGGGUCCCUGGUGGUUUAUCAACAUGUGGCUUAGUCUUCACAUGCACAAACACCUUGAGUUCGACCUCUUUACACAGCGCUUCCCCAGGGAUAUAGUCGAGGAUUAUGAACUAGGUGAAGAAGAAUCGGCGACUCGUUCCCCUCUGAACUUUGGCGAAGCCGCCAUAGUUUUGCCUGGCACAGGUGGCAACGCAGACCAGGUUAGCCGAUUCUUCCAAACCCUGUAUGAGGGUUUGACCAGGGAACAGCGGGCAUGGAUGCCCUAUGAAGAUCCAGACACCAGAUUCCCUCUGACUUUCCACCCCUUCAAUGAUGCUCUCCACAAGGAUCGUGAGGUGAUGAUGGCAAUUAUCACCCCAGAGCUAUACCGGUAAACUUCUUUGGCAGUGGGAAAGCUUCUAAUGUGACUUAUGAGUUCUACAAUCCAUCGGCACUAGCUCGUCAACUGGCUUUUGGCCAACUGCCGAUUGCACUUUGCUACGCCGAUGUGAUAAAGCCGAGGGAGAUUAUCACCAGCCAUCUGGAAUGGAUCAGGGUAGCCCAACUUCCACCAAACGCCGAUACAGAUGUCGAUCUAUCGGCUUGGAUCCCAGCUCUCUUCAUCACUCAGGCAUACAAACAGUGGUGGGAAGAAUGGAAAGAGCACCUGUUCUGUAGAUCGGCUCUUACAUACCGUGGCAUAAUCGACCCUCAAUACAAAGUCCCUGAUAACACUAUAAGUACUUCUAAACCGAUGUUUCAAUCCUCUCAUUUUCACUUUUCAUCGGUAUCUUACUUCCUUGUUAUAUGCAGGUCAAUGACACACCCCCAUUGGUCAGCAGGAGUGGCAAGCCGAUUGAGCUCCUUCCAUCGGGUACGAUCUCUUUGAUCGGCAACAACGCUCCAACUCUGGCUGCUAUAAUGCAUCGUGGCGUGCGUCUCAAGAAAGUUACCACCAAGCGGGCGAAGAUAUCCCCAUCGGUAGCUGCUUCUACCCUAGCACAAGCCUUCAAGGUAAAUUUUUGACUUCUUUUACUCAUACCGAUUCUAUCCUGAUACUUAUUACACUUGUACUCAUGAACUUCUCACUGUUGUAUCAGCACACCGGUACAUCGGCAAAGACCAGAAGCAUGACUGCCGAUGCCCCCCAGUCCAGUCAACCGAAGAGAAAAGGUUCCAAGAGUACCAGAUUACAAGCAAAGCGCCAGAGAACAGUAACGCCUUCUCCUCCCCCAGUAUCUCCGAUUCCAGUAGAAUCAUCCCCCUCUUCUCCAGAAAUCCAGACACAGCAGAUUCCAUCUCCUCCUCAGUCACAAGAAGAACCCCAAGUGGAAGAGCCCCAGCCAAAAGUACCUCAGCCAGAAGAAAUACCGGCUGAUGUACACGAGCAGACUACCGAUCCAGCAAGCCUAAUCAUAGCAUCGGUAGUCUCCUCAAUCCAGACAAGCACUGCACCCCCUCAAGGUAAUAUACUUUCCAUUUACUGCCGAUGAACCUAUUUUUCCACUUUAUUAAUUGCUUCUGUCAAUCUUUCAGCUGACAUAGUUUCAUCGGCAAUUCUAGCCGAUCAGCCCGUGGUUCCAUCGGCGUCAUCUAGUCAGAGGCGAGAGAUGGCCCUGAAACAAGUAAGUUACCCAAUCUCUAUCUGUAUUGUUUAUCAGUGCUUGAUCAUCGAAUAACUUAUUUUAUUUUCCUUUUCAGGAACAAGACUCUCCUGACAGCUUGUUCUCCUUUGCCAUCGACAUCUCUGAGGAUGAAGGCGAGGAGGCAAGUUCUUCUCGAGCUAUUGGAAUCUCAUCGGCAGAAAUCAGAGCAAAGUUAGAAGAAUUAUCAGCCCUCCUUCAUCAAGACACGGCCCAAUUGGUCGACGACUCCGAUCUGGCCAAGGCCUUGUUCAAGACUCUCAGAGGCCAAAUUCCUGUCGAUGCCGAGGAGAUCCUCUUCAAGGCUGCUCACUUAGAAAGUCGGCAGCUUCAAUAUCAAAAGGCCGCUCAGCGCCUUGCCAUAGGGCUAAUCACGCCCAGCUCAUAGAAGAGAUGAUAAAAGUGAAGCUCCUUGCCGAUGAAAAGCACAAGAGCAUCGGCAUCUUGAAAUCCUCAGGAGAUGUGCUGAAGCACAAAAUCUCUGACCUAUCGGCAAAGAGAGAAGCCCUGUUGGCAGAACUCAAACAGGUAGAAGAAGCUUUGUCCCAAGCUCAACAAGAAGAAAGCCAGCUGCCUGAGGCGAUCAAGAUUCUUGAACAAGAGCGAAAUGUCCAAGCCCGCAAAGCACUACAGAUGAAGAAGAAGCUGAAGCCAGUGGAGGGCUCUGCCGAUGAUGACAUGAAGGAGAUUGAAGAAGCCAACCAGAUCCAUCUGCGCGCCAUAUCGACGAUCCAGUCUUUGUUAAACAUGUGAAUCCUUCAUCGGUGGCAUACUUUGCUCUUUUCUUUUAAACAAUCCUGAUAUUUUUGGUCUAGCCGAUAGGACUGUUAUCGGCACCUUUUAAAACAUUGAGUUUGGCCCCAGAUAUACUUUGAUCCAGCCGAUAGGAAUGUCAUCGGCACUCUAAACUUUUAUGCAUCAACCCAUAUGCUAGGAUAAUAUUUCUUUAGAUACUUGCCGUUCAAUGCCCUGGGAAAUUCAACUCCUUCGAGAGUCUCUAAAACAUAAGCGUUACCAGGAGCAGAUCGAUUUAUCCGAUAAGGACCCUCCCAAUUGGGAGACCACUUCCCAAAUUUUGAACUUUUAGUCCCAAUCGGUAAGAUUAGUUUCCAUACUAAGUCUCCAUCGGCAAACUCCUUAGCCUUUACCUUCUUAUCAUAUCAUCUGGCAACUCUCUUCUUAUUCUCUUCUAUACUUAUCAAAGCCCUUAGCCGAUGCCCUGCUAAAUCAUCCAACUCAUCGGUCAUCAAAGUAGCAUAAUCAUCGGCAGCCAAUUGAUCUUGAAAAGAUAAUCGCCUAGACCCAGUUUUAAUUUCCCAAGGUAACACUGCAUCAUGUCCAUACACCAACUGAUAAGGUGAAACUUUGGUCGACCCAUGACAAGCCAUCUGAUAUGACCAUAAAGCUUCAUUCAACAACGUAUGCUACCUCCUAGGAUUUUCUUCAAUCUUUCGUUUAAUAAGCUUGAUAAUUCCUUUGUUAGAUGCCUCGGCCUGCCCAUUAGCUUGAGCAUAAUAAGGAGAAGAAUUUAAUACUUUAAUUCCCAAACCGAUUGCAAACUCAUCAAACUCUCCUGAUGUGAACAUAGUACCCUGAUCGGUAGUAAUUGUUUGAGGAAUUCCAAAUCGGUAAAUAAUAUGCUCUUUCACAAAAUCAAUCAUAUUGGCCGAUGUGACUUUCUUCAAAGGAAUAGCUUCAACCCACUUGGUGAAAUAAUUGGUGGCAACCAAGAUGAAUUUAUGUCCUUUACUCGAUGGUGGGUAAAUUUGGCCGAUUAGAUCAAUAGCCCAUCCCCAGAACGGCCAAGGUUUAAUAAUGGGAUUCAUGGCCGAUGCGGGUGCCCUUUGAAUAUUGCCAAAUUUCUGACAUCCUUAACACCCCUUGAAGUAUUUAAAACAAUCUUCAAGUAUGGUUGGCCAAUAAUACCCAUUCCUCCUAAUCAUCCACUUCAUCUUAAAAGCUGACUGAUGUGCUCCACACACUCCUUCAUGGAUUUCUCCCAUUAAACUUUUAGCCUCAUCAUCACCUAAGCAUUUGAGAAGAAUUCCAUCAAUUGUUCGAUAAUAUAAUUCAUCUUCGAGGAGCACAUACUUGGUGGCUUGAAACCGAACACGUCUCUCAACUUUCUUGGACAGAUCUUUCAAAUAAUCAACGAUUUCCCUUCUCCAAUCAUCAACACUGAUUGCCGAUAUUGUGUUUAAUAUGGGCUGAUAUCCCGAGGCAUGCUGAGCCAGCCGAUUGGCCUCUUCAUUAUGCAAUCGAGGAAUAUGCUCUAAUCGGAAAUCCUUGAAUUCCUUUAACAGUUGCAUACUCCUUUCAUAAUACGUUAUUAAGACCUCACUUCGGCAUUCAUAACUUCCAGCCAAUUGAUUUAUAACCAACAUAGAAUCUCUGAAGAUUUCAACAGCAUCAGCACGAACCUCUUUUAACAACUCCAACCCCUUAAUUAAGGCUUGAUAUUCAGCUUGAUUAUUUGUCGACGUGGCAACAAUCGGCAAGAACAAUUCAUACUUCCUUCCCCAAGGGGAAAUUAACAUUAUGCCGAUUCCUGCCCCCCGGUCACACGUGGAUCCAUCAAAGAAGAGCGUCCAAGACACAAUUUCCAAAGUUUCAGCUGCACCACAAUGUUGAGUUACAAAAUCGGCCAUAAUCUGUCCUUUAACCGCCUUAGCCGAUUCGUAACGCAAAUCAAAUUCCGAUAGUGCCAAGAUCCAUUUACCGAUUCUGCCACUCAUUAUCGGCAUAGAUAGCAUAUACCGGACCACAUCAUCUUUGCAUAUAACAGUGCAUUCGGCCGAUAGUAAAUAGUGCCUCAAUUUAAUACAUGAAAAAUAUAGGCAUAAACAUAACUUUUCAAUGGCCGAAUACCUGGUCUCAGCAUCAACCAAUCUCCUGCUUAAAUAGUAAAUCACACGCUCCUUCCCUUCAAAUUCUUGAAUCAAAUGGAGCAACAAGGUGUCAUAAGAUCAAAGAAGCACAAAGAUGGCAAAAUGAAUGAGUACAACAGAGGAGACAAGAUGUUCAUGAACAACUCAAGAUGCAAGAGAAGGAAAGGACCACCAGUCAUCUACCCUUCAUCACUUAGUGUCAUCACGCUCUAACAAUGAAGGUAAUAUCCUUAGGUAAGUGGUCACUUCUCUUGUCUCGAUCUUGGUGCAUACAUAAAUGUAGACACAAAUAUGUUAGAGUUACAAUUUAAAUUGAUUAACCUAAUUAACUCAACAUGAUUUGUCAUUUAAGAUUGUUCAUGGUGCCAUUCUUUUAAUCUCGGUCUUAACCAAAUGAGAUAAAACAUUAUAUUCGAUCUUUGGAAGAUGAUGGUCAUACUCAUGUGAAAAUUUAUAUAUUAUAGAUAGACAAUCCUUCAAUUGGUUAAGCAAUUUGAAUCUUUUCUAUCAUGUGAAUUUAAAUGCAACAUUAAAAUGCUUAAUCUUCUUAUCUUACCACUUAUGUCAUAAGUAAACAAAUUAUGCAAUAUUAACUUUGUCUUGUUUAAUGUGCCUAAGGAUAGAGAAAAAAUAAAUAAAGAGAUAUAUUUGGUUUUGUUAGUGUUUGUCCAACAGUAGAGCCAAUGUACUUGAUCUCUACCUUAGUUUUGUAGAUAGUAUAACACUUCGAGCAAAAUUGUUAAUUCUACAAGUGAAAGUGCUAUGAGCAUACACACUAAGCAAGAUGCUGCUAGCUGCUAUUAAAGAUCUACUUCAAUCUGUUGGCCAAGCCAAAGAACAAAGUGACAUCACCAUUACUAGAGGAUGCAAUCAUCAAAGACUUUUGUCUUUAAGAUGGAGAGGUACACAUGAGUGGAAGAAGAAGUUUUGUCGGUAAACUUUAAAUUUUGUACCCUUGCCAUGAGGUAAUAUGGUAGUUAUCUUAUUAAAUUAGUAUUCAUUAGUAAUUUUACUUCAACACAUUUAGUAGCACAUUCAUUCUUCUUUGCACAUUAAAUAUAAAACAACAACAAAAAAUAUUUACUGCUUAUUUACUGCAUCAUAAAACAUUAAAAGUCCCAUGUGAACAAACUUAUGGUUACCCUGUAGGAAUAUUUAAUGUGGUGGCAUAAAAAUAAUAAUAGCUUUUGUAUUUACUUUCUUGCAUUAUGAAAAUCCUAAGCCCCAUAAGAAUAAAUAUUCUCUGUGGAGGCAUAAAAAUACAACUAUAUAUCAUGACUCAUAUUUAAUUCUGCAUAAUUAAAACUAGAAAAUCCUAAAAAAAGAAUCCUGCUAGAAUCUAUCAAUUAAAAUCAACUUAUAAGAAUAAUCAAUUACUCUUUGGCUGACCACUAAUCUCUUAAUAAAUUGAAGCCUCGAGUUUUGGUUUUCUUGUUGGAGUAUAGUUAUGGAGGAGAAAUAUUAUGAUGAGGAGAGGGUCUAUCAGAGGCGCCCACAAGGACUAUUGCUGGUUAGCUCACUCUGAAGAUCAUCAAUACCAAGUAUGGUAGAAAUCUAGCUUGGGGGAGGAGCAUCCCCUAAUUAUCCAAAAAGUCUACAGGAAAAUAAGUGUGGGGGAAGCACCAUGAAAUUCUGAAACUCAAUUCGAUCGGAGAAUCACAUCAUUCGGGAGAUAGUCAUUCUACGACCACACACGACGAAGCAGGGCCUGAGCAUCCACAUGGGCCCACCACCCUUUAUGCGCUGGCCGGCGCCCCCUUCCUCUACUGCCGUCAGGUUUGAGCCCAAUACGAUAUAUUCGCAUGUUUUGAUUACCGUUCCGAACAUUAUAUAACACUUUUCUGGAAUUAUAAUUACUGCUAGGAAUCCCAUGAUUGCUUAAGUUUUUGUGGAACAUAAGAUAGCCGAAUAAUGAAAACUCAAUUCCUGAUAUUUGGGCUUUGAAGAUUUUAAUUCAAAUAUUUAAAAACACUUAGCUAUACUUCUCCUUUGUGGUAAAAAAAAUGUUUCCUAUACACUAUAAGUAAUGAUUAAUUUGCCUUAGCUACUUGUUUUUUAUUCUGAGUUCCCAAGAUCAAGAUCUUUUAAAGUUAAAAGUUAUAAAAAAUCCCUCUUGAGAAGUAUUAUUAUGAAGGAGGCCUGAGCUAUGCAAAAAAUAUCUGAGGAAAUAAAAAUGGACAAGUGUCCAAAACCUCAAAGAGAUAGAUCCCAAGAAAAUAAAAAUGGACAAGUGUCUGAAACCUCAAAGAGAUAGAUCCCGAGGAAAUAAAAAGGGACAAGUGUCCGAAACCUCGAUCUAGAAAAAAAGAGCACGUGCUCAACAGUAGAAUUAGCCUCAUAGCUUAUGGUCCUCCCGACAUAAUAUGCCAAGCAAGAGAGGAUCGUUUUCAAAAAAGAAAUAAGUAUGUCCUGAUCUAGGAGUAUGAUACUCCUCUCCCUGAUUUUAAGUGUUGACUUGAUCAAAAGCUUGUGUGCUAAAGAAGGAAAUAUAAAAUAAUGUUUCGACAAAGAUACAGGAAUUUAUUAAAUGCUACAAAAGGAGAAGGGCAAGCUAAGUUCUAGGAAAUCAACCUACUCUCCAAUAGACCUGAUUAAGGAAAAGAGUGAUCUGUUUCAAGCUGUUCUGUUCUUCAACUACUAAAAGAUUCAUGGUAGAAGCUUCGAAUUCCACAGUAAGAGAUAUGACUAGAUUUAUCUUUAUGCAAAUAUAUAUUAUGCUCUGAAUGCUAAAACCAACCUUUUUCUCGGGACGAGUAAAAGCCUAAGUGUGGGGGUAAUUGUUGACACCUGUUGAUGCCUAAUUUUUAUAAUCAAUUAUCCCGACAUAAUAUAUAAACACCCAGUAGAAUAGGGAGGUUACUAAUAAUUUCCAUGAGUUUUGGUGAAUUAUAUAUUUUCAAGGAUUAUUCUGAGAAAGGCAUAAAGAAGGACUACAGUGAGUAUUUACCACGAAACUUAACCGCAAAGGAAACCAACAGUCAUUGGAACGAGGGAAGGAUCUGGAAGCUACCCGAAGAAGCGGGACCCCAGUUGACACUCGGUGGCGCUGGCCGGCCCCACUAGGGUGCCGGGCUACACCCCCUGGCACGGCUCGGGUCUAGCUUUUGGAAUGUUCCUCCACCGCCUAUGAGGAGUCAUCUCGGCUGUUGCUUCCAUCGAUUUGAUCCUCUGACGCUCGUUUUACCCUGACGGACCAUAUUCAAGACAGAUUCGGCCCAAGUUUGGCCCAACAAGGCUUAGUUGCAUUAUUAUGAGGUGGUUGGAGGAUUUGUACCACAUCGCUUGCUCAAGGAGGAGGAGGCCAGGCUCCCCCCAUAUAAUACACCCCAGGGGUCCCUCCCAAGACGCACCAUCUACAGAGCUUCAAUUUAGAUUUUCAAUUAGGGUUAGAUGUAGCAAUCAAGAUAGAGAGUAGAGGGAGAAAGUAGAAGAGUAGAGUCUUGGAGGAGCUCCGACCUGUCGGCGUCUCUCCACUGUUGUAUUUGUCUCGAGUCGGCUCCCUAACCCAGAGUCGGGUUCUAAGGUACUUUUGUAGUUUACCUUUUGGUGCGUGUACGCGAUUGUUCUGGCCAUUCUUAAGUUUGCAUCUUGUAUUGAGUAUUAUUCUCUUUAUGAGUACUUUGAUCUUGGUAAUUUCUAGAUUAGAGUAGUAUUCGUGACGUAGACGUGGUGUCUAGGUUGUGGGUGCUUUGUGAAUGUCCCUUGUCUUGCCGGAUGGUGGUAGUCCGCGUAGGUGACAGCUGCGUUGGUUCCUUUGUAGUCCAUCUCCCACGGAAGGUUUGAUAGGUGUAUAGGUGCCGAUGGGAGGAGUACUCUGGUAUUGCUCUUCUUGCUUAGGUUAACCGCCCAGUUAGCAUGGUCUUUUCAAAGCUUGCAUAGUACCGGGAUAGAGAUAGUCAUUUGAUAACUCCUUUGUCUUGUUUUCUCUCUAGAUUGAUUGCAUGCCCCAUUAGAUUAAGAAUCAUAAACCUAGUCUAUUUCACCUACUGUUCCUUCGGGUUUGAUAUUAACCGGUAUAAUCUUGGAGAAGUGCUACAUCGGUAUUAUAUUUGUGCACUUGCCGGUAAUCUUAUUUACAUAUAUUUAGGUGCAGUUAAUUUAUACCAACAAUUAUCAUCAACUAGAAGUCAGGAAGGAGGAGGAGAAGCUCAUAUGGAUGACCGACACCCGGAGAGUGGAUGUCACUUUUUCUGAUCUUGCAAAAGUUUGCAGAAUGGACUACAUUUUCAUGAAGCAAGGGACAACAUUAUAUAAAAUUAAGGAGCCAGAGAAUGAGGAGGUACAACAUCUGCUUCACUACCAGGAAACUUCAAAGUAUGGUACUAGUGGAGGCCUGAGGAUGUUCCUGUUGACAUUUCUUAGCAUCGCUACUAAUAUGGAGUUCUAAAUCUAUCCCUAGUAACAAUGCCAAAAAUAUUGGUUGGUAUAAAUUAAGGUAGCACUUGUUAACAAUAAUAGUCACUAGAAAACUCUACACACCCAACUGUAAACCAUGUUGUCAUCCCCAACAAUAGAGUUAGAGAGUGGAUCACAUACUUUGGUUUUUAAGUCAGUUGAGAAAGAGAGAGAGUGGGUCACAUACUUUGGUUUCUAUUAAGAUACUUGUGUGUGAUUGCAUUGUGGGCCAUCCAUCCAGAUGGCUCUUUGUUAAUUCAGUUUUAUUUGUCUAUGUUGUUGCACUUUGGGCCAUCCAUCAUUAUGGCACCUUGUUAAUUCGGUUUCUUAGAUGUCUCUCUGUAAAUUUGACUGAAUUAAUCUAUGUUUUUGCAUUGUGGGUCAUCCAUCGAGAUGACUAUUGUUAAUAAGAGAACAGAAAUGUCUCCAUGAUAAAAUUUGUCUAGCUUGUGCGUUUUUUAAUUGCUGAACAGUCCCUUGAACUGUACUAGCUAAAAAAAUUAAAAAAAAACUAUUUUCCCCAAACUGGCUUCGAAAUCGGGGUGAUGGCGAGAGAGGGAACAAGAUUAACAGCUAUGCUAUGCUAGGAUGGUGAUUUUGAUUUAAUGGCUCUCUUUUUCUAUUUGAGUCGCUGCUUGCUCCGGUAUGCAAUAAGAAAUUUAAAAAUUAAAAGUUUCCCCCGCGAGGGCUUCAAACCAGAGCUAAUGUGCGUACAAAUAAACCAAAUAUAACAUAACUAACUUCCAUACAAAUAUAAUCAAAAUAUCUAUAUAAAUAAACCUGAUAAAGUAUAUAACCAUUUGAAUAAACCUUACAUAAGAAGACGAACACAUGGAUCCUACAAACUGGAUGCAACCCUUACCUAUCUCCACUCCAAGUAGCGUACGUCUUGAAUGGUGUAACCACGGUCAUUGUCUAUGUAAUGCGAGGCCUGCACUAGAAUCCAUUGCCUCACAAUGACGACGACAUGCAAUCCCAUAGAUAUACCCUACUAAUGGAUUAUCGAUUGCCUGGUUCUAUUUAAAUCUCAUGCAAUACUGGAUGCUAGCUGUUGUCAUUUCGCCCAUCGCUUCCAUGAUGCCCUAGUGGUACCCUAUGAAAGGUCCUAAUAUGGCUAGAGGGGGGGUGAAUAGCCUAUUUAGAAAUUCUACAAACUCACUAGAGCAAGAGGUUAGUAAAUAACAAAGCGAAGCUUUUUGCUCUAGCUCUAAAGGGGUGUUUGCAAGCCACCUAUCCCACAAUUCUAGUUGAUAUAAUCACUAGGCACACAAGAGCUAUGUCACUACUUGCACUAGAAGGCUACCUAAAGUUUCUAUACAAGUAAGUAAGCUACUCUAGUUUGCAGGAAUGUAAAAGAGUGGAUGAGAUAUUUAUACAACCAAGUAGGGGAUGAACCAAUCACCAAUAUAAAUAAUCAAGCACCCGGAGAAUGCCAAUCAAACACAAUUGAGACACCAAUUUUUCUCCCGAGGUUCACGUGCUUGCCGGCACGCUACGUCCCCGUUGUGUCGACCAACACUUGGUGGUUCGGUGGCUAAGAGGUGUAACACGAACCUCGUCCUCACUAGGACACCACAAGAACCUACCCAAAAGUGAGGUAGCUCAAUGACACGAGCAAUCCACUAAUGUUGCCUUUGGCUCUCUGCCGAGGUAGGCACAAACCUCUCACAAUCACCGAGAGAUGGCCACGAAAAAUCACCAACUCGUGCCAAUCCUCCUCCACUGCUCCAAGCCAUCUAGGUGGCGGCAACCACCAAGAGUAACAAGAAAACCGCAGCCAAAUCGAUCCCCAAGUGCCACUAGAUGCAAUCACUCAAGCAAAUGCACUUGGAAUCACUCCCAAUCUCACAAAGAUGUAUAAUCUAUGAAGGAGAUGAGUGGGAGGUGUUUGCUUAGGCUCACAAGGAUGUCUAGUAGUCAAGAAUGCCAAGAGAGUAAGCCAUAAGCCAGCCAAAAACUAUUUAUAAGCCCCUCAAACAAAUAGAGCUGUUGGCUCUUUUACUUGGCAGAACUCGGGGUCACCGGACGCUCUUAAAGGGGCACCGGACGCUCAACACUAGCGUCCGGUGCUCCAAAGUUAGCCACGUGUCAGCUUUUUGAAACUCAGUGUCAGAGUCUAACGGUAACCUGCAAAGCACCGAACGCUGAGCAAGAUAGCACCGGACGCGUCCGCAGAGACCUCCGCAAACUCGCAGGGUCACCGGAUGCAAGCCACCGGACACACCCUGAGCGUCCGGUGCUCACCGGACUCAUGCGCAGAGAGGGUCACCAAAACGCCCGCACACCGGACGCUGAGCACCGGACUCACUAUGGUGCAUCCGGUGCACUCUGCUACACUUGACAGUACACCGGACCCUCCCACUGGCGCAAUAGAAAAUAUGCACUUCAUUUUCUCGAAAAGCGCUGAAUCCCACCUCGCAAGCUCGGCGGGAGGGAGAGAGGAACCCAUCCUCUCUCUACCCUUCAAACUUCAACUCCCUUCUCAAAGUGUGCCAACACCACAAUGUGAAUGUUGACGGUCCUUAAUGCUCACAUUUAACCCUCAAAUAAUCAUGGAAAAGGAUCCAAAUGAAACUAACACCUAGACUUAGGGUUUUAUCUGACAGAAUUCCACGAGUUUUGGUGUUUGUCUAUUUCUGCAGGGGGUUAUCAGGAAAUACGGAAGAAAGGCCCACACGUCGAGUUUACAUAGAGAUAUUAACGUGCCGCACAAUUUUCUAUCAUCUAGAGGACUACAGAAGCCACGGGAACGAAGCGGAGGCCGAGAGGGCUCAGGGACAGGGCACCCGCCCAAGUCCUUAGGGCGCCCGCCCAGCUACUGUGUCCAAUUCGGACCCGUUUCGCGUAUUAUGCUCCACCGACCUAAAGGAUCAAGGAAAACCGUGCGAUCAAUGUCGGUUUGAUCCAACGACCUAGAUUCAUCUGAAAAGACUAUAUAAGCAAGGCCCCCUGGCCCCUGGAGAUCAUACCUCUUCUACAGAAUCAAAGCUAGGGUUUCAAUUCUUCAUCCAAGUAGAGAGGAUCCCUCUAGUUCUUCUAGUUCUACCUCUAGUUCAUCUAGAUCUAGUUCUAGUUCAUCUAGUUCUAGUUCUAGUUAGUUCUAGUUGUAGUCUAGAAAAUAGGGAGAGAGAAGAGGAGAGCGGAGGAGGAGCAGGACCUGUCGGAUCUUCCUCAACAUUGUACUUUUGCAGCAACUGGUUCGUUCUUCAUCGUUCUCCAGGUUCUUCAAUUCAUAAUUCGUGAGUUCUUUAAUUACUUUUAUUUACAUUCAAGUUAUUUAUUGGAUUUCCGCUUGCAUCAAGUGCUCUAAUCUUUGAAACAUUAGAGUAGUAAUUAAUAGAUUAGACGUGGUGUUUAGUCUUGCAAUUACCUGGAAUUGCACUCAAACCUACGGAUUGUUGUGGUAGCCCUAGGGUAGUGACAGCCCUAACGGUCGACGUAUUCCACCUCGUUUGGAUCGGUGUUUGUAGGACCGUAGUUAGACCUUCCUAGCCCCCUUCUCAUCUCUUUCUGUGGUUAGUGCUCUGAUGUCCCGAAAUAAAUAAUCUUUGAAGUAAUUCUUGAUUCUUAGAUCAACUAGAGAACUCUCAGGAAACUUCCUCUCUUCCCACCAAAAAUAAUUAUAUAGUUAUCCUUGGGCGAUCUUGGAUCUUAAUUAGUACACUCACGUUCCCUGUGGAAAAUCGAUACUCUCGAAUACUCCCGGGUGAAGGCUACAUCGGUAUCCGUGCGCUUGCGGAUUUUCCUAUUUGCGCUUAAAAUACCCAACAGUGUAAACCAACAUGUGCACGUGUGUUAGCAUUAUCACAAUCAUUUUCUUCGAAGGAGUUAAGUUAGCUCACUAGGUUCUAAAUGCAUGCACAUGAACAAUGACACCUAGUGGCACUUGAUAACCGCUUAGCCAAAGAAUUCCCCUCUUUGUAGUACGGCUAUCUAUCCUAAAUGUGAUCACACCCUCUAUGCUGUCUUGAUCACCAAAACCAAAACCCUAAGCAAUACCUUUGCCUUGAUCUCCGUAGGGUUUUGUUUUUCUCUUUCUUCUUUUCCAAGUUGAGCACUUGAUCAUCUUGUGGUCAUCACCAUCAUCACCAUGAUCAUCGCUUGCUCCAUCACUUGGCAUGUACCAACCUCAUUAAGUCUACACACACUUAGUAUAGAGGUUAGUACUAGGGUUUCAUCAAUUAUCCAAAACCAAACUAGGGCUUUCAAUCUCCCCCUUUUUAGUAAUUGAUGACAAUCCUUUUUACAAAGAUUUUCAAUAAAAUUUUCUUGAAUCCAUGUUGCUUGUCCAAGCAUUUUACCAUGUGCAAAUAUUAUGGACAAGUUUCAUAAACCCAAAUUGGUAGCAAUUGCUCCCCCUACAUAUGUGCUAAGAGUUUGGAUUGAAAGCUUGCACAUAUGCUUGAAUAGGAAAUAUAGGAGUCAAUUUCUACCAAAUGAUGCUAAGGUGUAAAGAAUGGACCUUUGAAGCGUGAUACCAAUCGGAGUUGCCAAUAUACACCAUCCUUAGCACCAUUAGUAACUAGCUAUUCACAAAACUAGAACACCUCGUGAGAUCAACAUUAUAAACAAGGUUCUAGUACCACUUGUGAAACAACUAAAAGUCUAGUUACACUACCUAUGCCUGCUAGUUCUUCAUUUCAUCAAUCAAACUCACAACUAGCAUACACCACACAAGCAAGGUAUCAGAGAGAAAAACUUCUAAAACUAAUGCAAAUGCAAGCAAACAUAUGUGAUGCACAUACAAAUGCAACAUACAAGUUUAUGAGCUUACUCCCCCUACUUGUGUGCUUCAAAAUUUUAAUUGAUCCCCUUCUUUUAUCAUGUUACUCCCCUAUCUUAAAUCUUUUGUAAUUUCUCUCCCCCUUAAGCAAAUCUUUGGGAAAUUCUCUCCCCCUUUGUCAUCAAAGACCACAAAAGGUGAGCUCAAAUUUUAGAUAGGUUAGUGUGAAACCAUGUGAAGUGAGAUCAUUUUCCCAAAUUGGUUCAAUCUAGAUUACUUGCCUAAGAUAUUUAACUCGGUUUGAUCCAAGGACAAGCUUCUUCACACCUCCAAAUAAGGGUUAUCUUGUACCAUGUUGAGUUAAACACUUAUAGCUCAUAUUCUAGAUCAAACACUAGGAUUGCAAGCCCACAAACAUGUCAUAUGCUACCACUAGAUCAAGUCAAGCAUAGAAGCAAUAGUGGUACCAUAUAAGCAUCAAAUUCAUUUGAUUUUCAUGAAUGAGCCUAAGACAUGUAAGGAAUGACUAGAUGCACUAAACAAAUCCUUAGCAAAGAUGGAUGACAUGUCAAACAAUUUCACCUUGCUUUGCUCGAAGGAGAGGCAUGUCAUAUAGUGGGGGUGCAUCAACACAUAUUUGAGAAGUCAAGUAUAUUCAAUUCAUUCUUUAGCUUGCAAAACCUCUUCUCAUCAAGUGGCUUGGUGAAUAUAUCAGCAAGGUUAUCAUCGGUGCCUAUACUCUCAAUGCAAAUGUCCCCUUUUUGUUGGUGAUCUCUUAUGAAGUGAUGGCGGACAUCUAUGUGCUUUGUUCUUGAGUAUUGAACCGGAUUGUUGGUGAGCUUCACGGCGCUUUCAUUGUCACAUAGCAAUGGCACUUGCUUGAAGUUGAUUCCAAAGUCCUUCAAAGUUGCCUUCAUCCAUAGGAUUUGUGCACAACAACUACCGGCCGCAAUGUACUCCGCUUCGGCGGUUGAUAGUGCAACACUAUUUUGUUUCUUGGAUGACCAUGAGACAAGUGAUCUACCCAAUAGUUGACAUGUGCCCGAAGUGCUUCUUCUCUCAACUUUGCAUCCCGCAUAGUCCGAAUCGGAAUAUCCAACAAGUUCAAACUAUGCACCUUUGGGAUACCACAAACCAACAUUUUGUGUAUGCUUCAAGUACCUCAAAAUUCUCUUUGUUGCUUUCAAACGACUUUCUCUUGGUGAGGCUUGAAAUCUUGCACACAUGCAUACACUAAACAUGGCAUCCGGUCUUGAUGCGGUCACAUAGAGUAGGCUUCCAAUCAUAGAUCGAUACAACUUUUGAUCCACCAUAUUUCCACUUGUGUCACUAUCUAAGCUUCCAUUUGUUCCCAUUGGAGUGCUAAUUGAUUUUGCAUCAUCCAUACCAAAUUUCUUGAGCAUAUCUUUUAUGUACUUGCCUUGACUCACAAAUGUGCCAUUCUUCAAUUGCUUGAUUUGAAGACCAAGGAAGUAACUAAGCUCUCCAAACAUUGACAUCUCAAAUUCAUUAGCCAUCAUGUUUCCAAACUCCUCACAAAACUCUUGGUUGGUUGAUCCAAAUAUGAUAUCAUCAACAUAUAUUUGCAACACAAACAAGUCCUUGCCAAUCUUCUUGGUGAAGAGAGUGGUGUCAACCUUGCCCAUCUUGAAACCUUUAGAGAGUAAUAAAUCUCUCAAUCUCUCAUACCAUGCUCUAGGUGCUUGCUUCAAACCAUAUAAUGCCUUUCUUAGCUUGUAAACAUGGUUGGGUUUCUUGUCAUCUUCAAAUCUGGGAGGUUGCUCAACAUAUACUUCUUCAUUGAUAUAGCCAUUGAGAAAUGCACUCUUCACAUCCAUUUGGUAUAGCUUGAUGUUAUGAGCACAAGCAUAGGCCAACAAGAUCCUAAUUGCUUCCAAUCUUGCAACCGGGGCAUAUGUUUCACCAAAGUCAAGACCUUCAACUUGAGUAUAGCCUUGUGCUACCAAUCUUGCUUUGUUUCUUACAACUAUCCCAUCUUGAUCUUGUUUGUUGCGAAAGACCCAUCUAGUACCAAUGACAUUAUGAUCACUAGGCCUCUCAACUAACUCCCAUACUUGAUUUCUCUUGAAAUUGUUAAGCUCUUCAUGCAUAGCAUUGACCCAAUCAACAUCUCUUAAUGCUUCAUCAAUCUUCUUUGGCUCAAUGUGAGACACAAAGGAGAAAUGCUCACAAAAUGAUGCUAAUCUUGAUCUAGUUUGCACUCCUCUUUGAAUAUCACCAAUGAUAUGAUCCAAUGGAUGAUCUCUUGCAAUGUUUGUUGGUUGGAGUAUUUGCACUUGAUUGCUUGCACUUGGUUGAUCAUGAGAUGAUGUACUAGCUUGUUGAUCAUGCACUUGAGUACCACUAGUACUAACUUGAUUUUGAUCAUGAGAACCACUAGCUUGCACAUUAGAGGUAGGAAGCACUUGAUCUUUGUCAUCUUCAACAUCAAUCACCUCUCUAGGCCUUAAAUCACCAAUAUCCAUAUUCUUCAUUGCAUCGGCCAAUUGAGUGCCUCUCACAUCAUCUAGAUUUUCAUCUUCCUCUUGAGAGCCAUUUGUUUCAUCAAAUUCAACAUCAUGCACCUCUUCAAGAGUACCACUAGCCAAAUUCCAAACUCUAUAAGCUUUGCUAGUAGUUGAGUAACCAAGCAAGAAUCCUUCAUCACGUUUCUUCUCAAAUUUACUCAAUCUAGUGCCUUUCUUCAAUAUGUAGCAUUUGCAACCAAAAACCCGAAAGUAUGCAAUGUUGGGCUUUCUUCCAUUCAAGAGCUCAUAUGGAGUCUUCUCCAUCAUUGGGUGACAAUAGAGUCGGUUGCUAUAGUAGCAAGCCAUGUUGAUUGCUUCGGCCCAAAAAGAAUGACUCACAUUGUAUUCACUCAACAUUGAUCUUGCCAUGUCAAUCAAGGUUCUAUUCUUCCUCUCAACAAGACCAUUUGAUUGUGGAGUGUACUUGGCCGAGAAUUGAUGCCUAAUACCAAACUCAUCACAAAGCUCAUCAACUCUUGUAUUCUUGAAUUCACUUCCAUUGUCACUUCUCACUUUCUUGAUGGUUGUUUCAAACUCAUAGUGUAUUCUCUUGACAAAUGAUUUGAACGUUGCAAAAGCAUCACUCUUGUCACUAAGAAAGAAUACCCAUGUAUAUCUUGUGAAAUCAUCCACUAUCACAAAUCCAUAUUUGUUUCCACCAAUACUUGUGUAUGUGGUUGGUCCAAAUAAGUCCAUGUGCAACAACUCAAAUGCCUCGCAUGUACUCAUGAUGCUCUUCUUUGGAUGAGUGUUGCCAACUUGCUUUCCGGCUUGACAUGCACUACAAAGCUUGUCUUUCUCAAAUGUGACAUCUUUCAAGCCUCUAACAAGAUCAUGCUUGACUAACUUGUUUAAUUGUUUCAUUCCAACAUGACCAAGCCUUCUAUGCCAUAACCAACCCAUGCUAGAUUUAGUGAGCAAGCAUGUUGACAAUUGAGCUUCACUAGCAUUGAAAUCAACCAAGUAUAGAUUCUCAUAUCUAAAGCCUUUGAAUAUCAAGUUUGAGCCAUCUACACUUAUGAUCUCUACAUCAUCAACUCCAAAUAUGCAUUUGAAACCAAGAUCACAAAGUUGAGCUACGGAUAAAGUUCAAGCUCUCUACUAGUAGCACAUUGGAAAUGCUCAAGUCAUUGGAUAUAGUAAUUUUACCAAGCCCUUUGACCUUGCCUUUGCCAUUGUCACCAAAUGUGAUACUAUCAACACCAUUGUCAUCAUUUGAUUUGAUUGAAUUGAACAUUUUUGAAUCACCGGUCAUGUGUUGUGUGCACCCACUAUCAAGCACCCAACGCCUUCCUCCAUCUUUAUAGUUUACCUACAAAACAAAUCAAUGUUUCUUAGGUACCCAUACUUGUUUGGGUCCUUAGAGGUUAGUGACUAAGCUUUUUGGUACCCAAAUGGCCUUCUUCUUUGGACCCACAAUUGGUGUACCAACAAACUUAGCAUGCACACCCUUCUCACCCUUGGUAAGCACAUAAUAACAAUCAAAAGGAAUGUAAGAUACAUUAGCAUUUUUCUUGUUCUUGUUCAUUUUAUUGCAAUUAAGCUCUAGGUGCCCAACUUGCUUGCAUUUGUUGCAAUACCGACCAUUGCUCUUCACAAAGCUAGGCUUGUGAGUUGCAAAAGCUUUCUUGCCAUUCUUGGGGGUAUAGCCUAAUCCCUCUUUGUUGAGAGAAAACCUUUGGCUACCCAAGCACUUUAGCAAGCGGGCCUCACCACCAUAAGCUUUUCCUAGGGCGUGAGUGAGCUCAUCCACCUCUCUCUUGAGAGUCUCAUUCUCAACUUUUAGUGAGGUAUCACAAGUGACACUAACACAAGAAGUAGAGGUAGAGUUGUUGGUGGUGGAUGAAGACCUACAAAAAGAGUUAGUGGCAACAACAAUAGGUAGGUUGGGUGAUUCUUUAAUUAAGUCACAAGUUGUGCCCACAUCACAUGAUACAACAACCUUUUCCUUGUUCUCUUCUAACAACAAGGAGUGAGCUUUCUCAAGCUUGGUGUGAGCCUUGCCAAGCUUCUCAUGGGCUUCCACUAGCCUCUCAUGAUUAGCAUUGAGCUCAUCAAAGGAUUGCUCAAGAGCUUUUAACUUCUUGGCCAAUUGUUUGCACUUCUUGUUUUUAGAUUGAAUGAGAGAAUCGACUUGUUCUAACAUGUCCAUGAGUUGUUCAUUAGUGAAUUCAUUUUCAUCAUCACUAUCACUAUCAUGUUCAUGUUCACUUUCACUUUCACUCUCAUCAUAUUGUACCUUGUGGCCCUUGGCCAUGAAGCAUGAAGGAGUGUCGAAGAGUGAUGGCUUGUUGAUAGCAAUGCUUGCAAGUGCCUUCUUAUUGGAUGCCUUGUCAUCAUCACUAGAAUCAUCAUCCGAAGAAGCAUCACUAUCCCAUGUCACAACAUAGGAUCCACCCUUCUUCUUCUUCUUGAAAACCAUCUUCUUCCAUUUCUUUUCUUUCUUCUCCUUCUUGUUCUUCUUGUCAUGCUCAUCAUUGUUGUUGGGUAUUCUUAACAUCAUUACCAAAAGUAGACUAAGUUCUCUAAAUCUAGUAACGGUGCCAAAAAUGCCAAACCUAUCCCUCACACCACUUAAGCCAAGUUGUCAUCCCCAGCAUGACAUGAGAGACGCGGUAUUGAAAUAUGCAAUUGCUCUUCUAAAUAAAUAAUGAAUGGGAUCUGCAAGCGCACAGAUUAAUACCGAUGUAGCAUUUUAACCGGGAAGUAUUCCAGGUAUCGUUAUUUAUAUUUUUACCACUGGGAAGGGAUUAGCAAUCAUCAAUAUUGAUUACAGAAUAGAAUAUGAGAUUGAGCAUCUAUCAUUGCAUGUAUAAUUGAGAACAGUUAUCUAACUCUUUCAUACAGGGGUAAGUGUCACAUAAAAGAUAUAUGAAGUAAUGAAUAGUGACAAAGAUAAUUGAUCUGAUCAGCCACAUAUAAAUAUGAUAAGCACCUCAAUUAGAUACUCUAGAAAGUCAUUAGCAUGGUAUUAGAACGAAUUACAAGAAUAUUCCCUAAGUUAUUCUCAACUAUAUAGUCUAGCAUUAUCAUAAUUAGUGCAAGCAUACUUAGCAAUCAUUGUGAGACAAGACUACGCCCACGCAUAGUGAUAUUAGCAAGGUAAAUGAGAAACAUAGCAAUCACUCCCCUAUAAUAAUAUUGCUCUGCCAGCCCAAUACACGAGAGGGGGACUAUAUAAGAAUCAAUGAAGCUGUCACUAUCACGAACUACCCCACGAUCUGGCAUAUUGGGUACAAUCGCAGAUAAAUACGGUAUAAGCACCACGCCUACACAAUAUCUAUCAUUUACCCAUGGAUCCGAUGGAUAAAUGCUAUAUGAUCCUAAGCAUGUAUAUAGAUCCAAUCUAACUAAGCCAAGUACAUAACUAUGAUAAACUAAGAACAAUAUAAUCUUGAAUAUAAGCAAGUAGAGCAAAGUCAUAAGCAAUAUAUUGAAGUAGAACAAAGUCAUAUUCAUAAUAUUGAAGAACAAAGAUAAUUAGAAAGCAAUUAGAAGCACAAUUAGAGAAUUACCAAGAAUCCUCUUGAUAGAUCCAGAAACCAAUCGAAGAUUGACUCCUUCUAGUUCUAAUCCUAUGUAGCUAUGCUAAUCUAGAUAUCUAAUUGAUGUGGUGGCUCUAAUCUUGAUCAGAGGCUUCUUCUCCCUUGAGAAUAAUGAAUUAGGGUUGAGAGGCUCUCUCCUCCAGGGGCCAGGGGGUCUGGUUUUAUAGUCCCUUCAAGUGAAUGUGGGCUGUUGGAUCAAACCGACUUAGAUUGAACGGUUAUCCUUGAUCCUUUAGGUCGGUGGAGAUCUCCCACGAAGCAGAGUCCUGAUUGGACUCCAGAGGUGGGCGGGCGCCCUGCCUCUGGCCCCGUUUCGCCUCCGCUUCGGUCUCGUGGCUUCUGGAGUCUUCUAGAUGUAAGAUAAUUGCGCGGCACGUUAAUAUCUCUAAGUAAUCCCGACGUGUGGGCCUUUCUUCCAUAUUUCCUGAUAACCCCCUGCAGAAAUAGACAAACACCAAAAUUCGUGGAAUUUUGUCAGAUAAAACCCUAAUUCUAGAUGUUGAUUUCAUUUGGAUCUUUUUCUUAUUUAUUUGAUAAUUAAAUUUGAUACUUAAGGACCAUCAACAAACUCCCCCAAGCUUACCUCUUGCUCGUCCCUGAGCAAGGAUAGACUCAGCUAUGGAUCAGAAGUUGCUGCAAUAUCUUUAAAAUUUGACGGUACACAUACUUUUAAAUAAGAUCUCAUCUCUGAGUUAGAGUAAACUGUCAAGACUUAAAACUUACUUACUUUACCUCCACCAUGGGACUUGUAACUGUCACUUCUGUCUUGAGUAGUUAAAAGAUAGAACAGUCUAGCCAAGUGCCAUGUCUCUUAUUCUUGAUCAGCUAUAGCUCUGGUGUUUUUUACAGAUUUUCAAAUAAAACUUAGAGAUUCCUUGUAUGAUUCUCUCAAAUCUCUCUUUUGUGGUAUUUCUGGAUCGUUACCAAGGCAGUGAUGGUAUAUGCCUUCUCUCAAGAUAUGUAGUAUUUGUGGUAUAAAGCAUAGUGACAUUGUCUUCUCUCUCACCCUACUCUAAUAAGGCUUUAAUAUCUGGAGCUCAUAGGUGGGAGAUAAAGUAUACAUACUUACAAGACAUGUGUUGCAUAAUCAAACCAUGGAUCCAAAGAAACAAAUCAAUAAGCCAAAUCAAGAUGUGCAUGUGUGGCGAAUGAAUGAUGUAUGGUGAUGAUGGUGAUAAUAAUGGUGAAAGCCUAAUUCUACUUUUUGCUCUUUUGAGGGGAUACAUACCUUCCUUGCUUUUUGAAUUUAUGAGGAGAAUGAGAUGCUCUUCCUUUUUUUUCUUUUCUCUCAUGUGGGUAUCUUGUACCCCUAAUUCUACUAUCGGACACUUGUCCAUUUUUACCUCUCGUCUCACUCUUUUUUUUCUUUUGAGGUUCCGAGAACUUGCUCCUUUUUAUUUCCUCGUAUCUCUCUUUUUUUAGAGCACUCAUCUCUUGAGAUAAUAUAGCAAGUAGUAGUAACAAGAUAACUUGAGCAUUUAUUUCACAAGGAAAAAUAGAAAUAUUUUUGUUAUUCUCUCCCGGGUUAGGAGUAGAAUAUUUUUAGGUAGUUCUGGAGAUGGAAAUGGAUGGAUAUAUGUGGAUGGUACUUCCGGAGUAGAAGUAGCAUAUAUGAGUGAACGUGCAAGUGAAAUCUUGAUUUAACCACAUGACAAGCUCCUAAGGGACUACACAGCUUGACUACACUCAAUGCUCAUAAGCAGUAAAUAGUAAAUGUGUGGCUCAAAGUCUAGCAAGCAUGUAUAUAUGGCUGUGGUAGGAAUUUAAACUCUCAUCAUACAGGAACUCAUCAUGCAACAUUUUAAAGAUUUUCAAAGAUAAAAUUCUCCAGAAUUCUAGCAUCUCUAGGAACAGAUAAACAGCAGCUCAACCUUCCCAUAUCAUAUCCAUUAACAACUUAGACUUC
rnacentral:lncRNA from 1 species